rnacentral:lncRNA from 1 species
CACCUGAAUGAAUAGAAUGCGCAGAUGCUCAAUACUUGGUGCUAAGUCAAUUGUACCAACAAUGCUAGAAAAAUCUGUUGAUAAGCCAAAAAUUGCUCCUGAUGGGCAGGUCUCAUAUGUAUUGUUCGUUUGUCCACAAUGAAGAAAGCUUAAGGGUAGCCCUUAAACUGAUGGGCACUCUGGAGGUACUAAGAUAAUUUUAUCUAGUCCAUGCUGCAAUAAAGAGUAUUUCCAUUCACUAAGUUAUGAGUUGAUGGCUUUUACAUACGGAUCCCAGCUUAUGGACAAGGCUGAAUGAGCAUCCAAAGCCAAAUGGUUUCCAUAGGCAACAAACCAAACAGAUAAUAAGGUUUCGGAAUAAUCUAUUGACCAAAUUAUGUUAUACAUUGGGGAUGUUCUGUAAGUGAAUUACUUGUACUGACAAAGAAACUCAUAUCAGUUUAAUUAGUGACCGACAUACCUGCAUGCACCUGAUCCUUCCGCCGUUGCUGACGCUGCUGAGGCCGGCGCUGCUGGAGCGGCGGCUGACGGGCAGGCCGGCGGUCGACUUGAGACCCUGGAAGGGUGCGACGGAGGUGGCCGAGGAAGCCAUCACAGUGGGGGCCAUGGUGUUGGAGGAGAGAAGGUGGCAGGCUAAGCUUGGCCCCCAUUGCUGGGUCACCACGGUAUAUAUAGCCAUAUAUGGCCAGCUCCUAUCUUUAAUCAAGAUGUGGAAGGGGUGGCUGGCGUUCGUUGGUUGCUUGGUUUCCUUAUCUCUCCGGAUUAGUGUAAGAGGCAUGGCCGUUGGAUGAGUUGUGUGUGCCCAAAAUUUCAGUCGUCCAUGUCAUUGUGUGAUUGCCACAAUCCUUUUUCCAGCCUUGCAUUACUGUAUUAUUCUUUUCGUUUCAUCUUGCUAAAGGUAACGCUUGAAAGGUGCACGAAGAACUCCCUUUGUUGAUUUGCGAUUUAAGUUCAGUGGCACAGGCAUAACGAAUGUUAUAGUACAUCCUUUAUCCACUUUUAUAAUACAAAACUUGUCAACCAGUUAUGCUUGCUUCUAAUCUUUGGUACUUCAUUUUAUAACAUUUUAUACAGGUAACUAACGUAUACUUGCUGCAUGUAUGAUGUGUGUCAUCAUGACCUUUAUGUACUUUAUUCACAAUUAUUCAUUGGAACACAAAAGUGUUGUACUAUUUUCUACACCUAAUCAUUUACAUGCCUUGGAGGAUUUUUAGUAUAGGAAAUGCUAUUUAACUGGCUGUCCAGGCAAGGUAUAACUUUGUUUUAAUCUAUGAGCUAAAGUUUUAGAUCCCUCUGUUAUCCAUUUGCUCAGUUCAUGCCGUCCCCAGUGAACUCAUAAAUUACAUAUGGUGAGUGAAUAUAGACCACAAAAAAUGGUAGAUGUAUGUUCAUUCAUUUCAUGAUGAUGAAGCAACCUGCAAAAUGAUGGAAUCGACCAUGACUACUCAGUGAUAUGGCAAUCAUGUAGGACGAUCAUCGUGAUCAUCCUCCCGAGUCGUCCCCGUGCGGCGGCUGGGAGUACCCCAGAUCCCGUCGCCCCCGACUCCCCCUCUCGUCCCCUCCUCCCUCACCGCCGCCCGAGGGCGCCGCCGGGCAAAGCCUUGCCGUCGCCGGCGGCGGCAGGGACUAGGUGCCCUCCCGCUCGUGAGGAGCUGGCGCGGACCAGCGCCCCCGGGCUGGAGCGUGGCGUGCAUCUGGAUGUCAUGACGGGGGCUGGCGGCGCUCCUGCGAUCCCAUACCUCAUGGCAGGCGGCUUCAAGAUCUGGGGCGACACGGUUGCCAGGGUCGGCGGCGGUGGCGUGGCCGGAUCUAGGACCAGGUGUGAGCUUGGUCUCCGGGUCACGAUCGGCGCGAUGGCAAGUGCGACAUGUCGGCAGCUGGACGGAUCUGCGGGAUUCCAUCCUUGUCUAGUCCUUGACAACUCGAGCAACUCCGAGGGAAACCCUAGAUCCAUGGGAUCAAGCGAUGGCAGUGCUUUUGCGUCGUAGUCCCUCUUCGGGACAUCAUUUUAGAGUUUGCUAUGGUUGAAGGGACCAGCGAGGCAUGCGGCGUACGCCCGGUGUCGCAACUACCGAUGAAAAUUACGCCAACUACGGUCAUGGCGGACGAUGGCGGCGUCUUUGAUGUCGUUUCCUUGUCGAGACAUCGUCAUUGCAGUUGGCAUCAUCAUGCUCGGGAUGCUCCGGGGGAAACCCUAGAUCUGGGUCUCCCGGAUCGGACGAUAAUAGCGUUCUUAGUAUCGCUUUCCCUCAUCGGGGCAUCGUUUUGGAGCAAGUGAUGGCUGGAGGUGAUAAGAGGAGGAGCGGUGCUUCAUCAUACACAUUGGUGGUGUCGGAUCUCGAUGGCAUGGCACCCUGGAAAUUAGGCGUUUGAUGUGCGAUGAUGGACUCGCGUAGGAGGUCGACGCUCUCUGGCGUCGUGGUGGCAUCGGCGGCAGCUAGACCGGGCAAGGUACAUGCAGUAGUACAACUCUGAAGAUGGAUUGGUGGCAGGUGGCUGCGGCGGCCUCAUACCCGGCAGGCGUCCUGGUUGAGGAGCACGCUGGACUGGUGGGUGCCCAUGCCCGGCAGGAGUCCUGGUUGGGACCUCAGGUCUUAGAUGUUAGGUUUGGCUGCGAUGUCUCUUUGGUAUUAGGCCCAGACUAUCAGCGCCCCUUCAUCAACUGGAUUGGAUUAGCGACAGAUGUUGCUUAGACGGUGGCUUUAGUCUUAUUGUUGUAUGGUUUUGUAAGGUCUUGUGCUAAUAAUUAAUAAAAUGAUUGUAUGCAUCGCCCAGAUGCAGAGGCCGGGGGUCCUUCUCCUUUUCUAAAAAUCUAGUCAUUUAAGGUAGAUGUCGUGAUCUUCUUGUGUGACUGUCUCAUAGAUUUGAGCUGCAAAUCGAAUCUUAUAUUCUUCCAUUUUUUUUGAAUUUCCUGCAUGUAGUUAAUUAUUUUUUAUGAAUCCUUAAUGAUAAUUAACAUGGCCCAGAUAUUCACAAAAUAUCCAUAACUAUCAUGAACGAAUCAAUAAAUUACUAUUGCAGAAUGAAGAAUGAACCUUCCAUAGACCCCUCCACUUGGGCCCGUCGGUAGAGAGAUUCAUCACUCAUGGGCCACAAAAUGCGAGCCAAGUAGGACGACCUUCACUAAUGGGCCCUUAAGUUGGGCAUCAAUGGAGGGGCACCCAUGGGGCCCAAAGAUCCAACUGAAUGGACAGUCCAUCUCUACUGACGGUCAUACCGGAAUUUCCUAACGGACGCACAUUGUGUCAAGUUGCCACUGUUUCGCACAGAUGCCAGCGACUGGCGACCGAGAUGGGCCGGCCCAAUUACGAGCCCACAGAUGCGCUACAGUGUCCGGUUUUGGGAAACUUCUAGGAGGUUCCUGAGCGGUUUUGGGAACCUUCUAGAAGGUUCCUGAACCAGUUUUCCCUGGUUUAUUCUGUUUCUUUUUAUUUUUCUUUCAAUAUUGUUUAUUCUUUUUCAUUCUUUAUUUUUAUUUUUUCGUUUUGCCGUUUCUAUAUUCCAUUUUUUAUUUCUUUAAUUCCUUUUCCUUCUCUUUUUUCCUUCAGAAUUAAAAAAUAAUAAAAAUGUUCAGAAGUUAAGAAAAUUUUAUUGUUUAAAAAUUUUGUUCAUAAAUUGAAAAAUGUUCUUCUUUUCAAAAAACCUUCGCAUUUUUAAAAAAUGUUUGGCAUUUAAAAAAUGUUCCGCUUUCAAAAUAUUGUUCACAAAUUACAAAUAAUGUUCACUCUUUCCAAAUUUUGUUCAGAGUUUGGACAUGUUUGCAGACGUAAAAAUGUCCACCUUUUCCAGAAAUGUUCAUAUCUUUUUUUUCAAAAUUUGUUCACAAAUUCAAAAAUUCCUGUUUUUAUAAUUUGUUCACACAUCCAAAAAUUGUUCACACCUUUUAAAAAUUCUCAAAAUUUGUUCACAAAUUCAAAAAGCUUUCCAUUUUUAUAAUUGUUCACAGAUUAAAAAAUUGUUCAAAUCUUUAAAACUUGUUCGUGAUUCUAAAAAAAUGUUCAUAUCUUAAAAGAAAUCACAAAUUCGAACAAAUUCCUGUUCUCAAAAUUAGUUCACAAAUUAAAAAUGUUAUUUUUUGAAAAUUAUUCACAAAUUCAAAAAAAGUUCGCAUUUUGUCCAAACUUGUUCGUGAUUUGUCAAAAAAUGUUCGGAAUUUAAAAAAAUGUACCCGUUCUUUCAAGAUUUGUUCACAAAUUAAAAAAUUAUUUCCCUGUUUAAAUUUGGUUCACAAUUCAAAAAAUCAUGUUUUUUAAACUUCAAUUUUUUGCACGUGUCUAACAAAAUAGGUCAGAGUUUUGAAAAUUGUUCCUUUUUAAAAAAUUGUCCAGAACUGCAAAAUUGUUCCUGUUUUUAAAAUUCGAAUAAUUGCGACCAUUUGUUGAAACUCGUGUGCAUUUUUGCCAAAAACAUUUGGACUUUUAAAAAUAUAUUCAGAAUUAACAAGAAAAGAUUUAAAAAGGAAAAAUAAUGUGACCUGCCGUUGUGACCAGUACUAGUCGUGGUGGCUAGCUAGCUUCGUAUAAAAAAGCACGAUCGCGAGCUCGAGUCCUAGCUCUCGCUUCGAGUUUUUCGUUGCCUUUUUAACACUGCACGCUGCCUGCGUGGGCCGGCCCAGUCGGGCGCCUAACCUGUGCGAUCGCUCGACAUUCUGCCGCAGAAUGCGGCAGAUAGGAAGUCCCGGUCAUACCACACCACCCGUCAAUGUUGGGCGCCCCGUUAGUGCUGAAUUAAGGUAUUUCUAUCUGCUAGAGACGAAGUGGCCUUAUAUGGGCUUUCUCUUUUCUCCUAAACAAAACCAAGCCACCUCCCCCAAUCCAUUCCUCCCCAACGUCAUCACCACCCAAUGUUUUUGUCUCCUUACAUGUGUGCCCCCUCCUUCUUCCACAUUGAUCUGGUCCAACGCUACCGUCUCAUCCCCGCGAUCAUCGUCACUACUCUUCGAUUACUCGUGAUGGCGCGGGUUGUGGCUUCCCACUUGCUCUCUCGUAAGAGUGGUUGGGUAAACCCCAAGUGUAAGGAUGAAGUAACCUAGUAAUAAGCAUUUUCCCCGAUAGGUUUAUCAAACCAGUAGGAAUUUCUUCUACAACCCAAAUCCUCGGUACCUGCACACCAAACACAAAAUAAUCUUGCCCCAAACGUUUCAAGAAGGUUGUCAAGCUUCUUGUCCUGCUAGUUACAAGGAUUAGUUGUUAGUUGAAAGCAAAUAUCAGUUGCUAAGUAGCCUUAGUGUGGUUUGUACCUUCAGAUCUGCCAUGACACUGUCAACACUAUACUCGCCAUGCUUAGGGUUCAUCCUUUUUAUAUACACCAAGAUCAACCUAGGUGCUUCGCGUCGUACUAGCACUAAUCCAACCAUCAAUAUAAAUGAAAUGCCACCAUAAUUUCAAAGCUUAGUUGUUCAAAUACGAAUAUGAUGUGGUACUAAUAUUAGUUUAAAAUAGACACAUGUAGUUGGUCAGCCAAUGUUCCUUGUUGAGUUUCAAAAUACAUGUACACCACUUAUAGAGAGGCAUGAGUGAAUACUAUUUAUUUCUGCGAUCUCGUCCAUCAUGGAUGGGCAACGAACAUUGCAUUGUAUAGAAAGAAGGGUUAUAUAUAACCACCUUUUACAUAGAUGACGCUUUGCCUACGUGCUUUGUGUUGAAGUAGCAACACUCCACCUUUCAAGCUAAACAACAUGACACUCAUAAUUUCAAAGCUUAUUUUGUCAAAUACGAAUUUGAUAUGAUACUGAUAUUAGUUAAAAUGACACACAUUAAUUGUCAGCUAAUGUUCCUACUUCAGUUUUGAAAUGCAUAUCUGCCCCUUAUAGAGAGACAAGAGAGGUUUCUAUCUCUCUAUCCGCUCUUGUCAUCAUGGUUGGGGGGUGAACUUUGUAUAUCGUAUAGUUUGAAGCUGUCAUCUACCAACAAUCAUCACUUCUGGAGAUCUCAACUAGGAGCCUUUUUUGAGUAGUAGGGCCAUAUUAUAUUAAUACACACACCAAAUUACAACUCACAUAGCAUCUCUCGGCAGACUUCCAGAGAUAGUACGCAGGGGUUUAUAAGGAGUCACUAUUGGGGUAGAAUCGGCAAUGCAUUUGUUACACCCCGAUUCAGAGAACCGGAGGUCCCCGUGUUCCAGCCCAGAUAUCCAUUCGUCUGGAACACGACUAUAGCUUGGUACAGAUAGACCAAAAUAAAUAAGUACUUAUGUACAUUAAGGAGACAUGUCUAAGUGUGAGAAGCUCGAGGGCUUUAUUCUACGAGUGGCUUAAGGAAGUACUAAAGACGAAAAUAAUACUAAUGACACAACAGAAGACGGGGUACCAGUGGGGCUCCAAUCUAAAGAGACACUGCUGGUACACGAACUCUUAGGGGAACUCUUCUAUCGGCUCUCUAGUAUCUAGCAUGAUAAGUCAGGUGAGUACUUAAUUUGAAUGUACUCGCAAGCUCACAAACAAUCCAAAGCAAGCAAGAACGGAGCAAAUAAACAUAGCAACGAAGUAAGGACUAGUAAAGCUACUACUAUCAAGACUACUCCAUAGACUUCUUGUCUGCUCGUUUAACAUCUACUGGACUUCUUCUUGAAAUGAGUCCUGCUCAAACGACUCAACAAUAUAAGUUACCUGUUACCACAGUUACUAGAGUUGAAAGUAAAGGAAUAUGGGUACUUGGUCAAAUAGUGUGACCUAACACAAAUGGUGUCCCAUUGUCGGGGACUCGGCUAUUUGAAUAGUUUCAACACACACUCUGUAGAGGUCACACACUUUAAUUUACCCACACCAUAGAUUCUUUGUCUAAUGAAUCUCAUUCAUAGCAUGGCACUCUAACUAUUCCUCCGACCUCCCGCAGGCUAGCCCUGGGAGAGAGGAUCUGGGUCCUUGCCACUCUGUGUGGCACCACUUGUAUUCGCUUAGGAAUAUUUUCUAUUGAGCUCAUCCACAGACCCAGGCUCUCUUGACUGAAUGGCAACUUCCAAGCCAGAGGAAGUCUACACAUUCCAGCUUCCCUCUUCAGAGACACACAAAAGAUACAUACCUAGAAACGGAAUAAGGCCCUCCCAUUCGGCUAGAUGUGGCUAUACUGAGGUUGUUCCGCUUUGUGGCAUUUGGAUUGGCUAGCUAUUUAAAGUUGGGUUAAGAAGGAAAGUAAAACCGUAACUUUGUACUAGCUAUUCAAAUCCACAACUUGUUAUCCUACUAGGGUGAAGUAUUCACGAGGAUUCAUCAUCCUAAGUAGAGGCUUUCCCCGAGAUCCUUUGUGAACAUUGAUACCUAUUUUGCUUAUGAUUCAUGUUGGCAAAAUAAUUACCGGUUACGAGUCAUAGUUAAACUUCUAUUCCACUAGGACCAAAUAAAGGUAUCCUUGCUAGUGACUCACUAUGCUAUUUCAACCACAACAAACUUGACAUAAGCAAAGGGAAGCAAUAAAGAACACUGAAAGAAAAGUAAUGCGGGAAAAGAAAUGCAAGUUGAAUCCAUGGCCUUGCAAUGCAAGUUGAACCUAUAGUGUUAUAGCCAUGGCUCACGCUCAUGUAUUGCAUGGGGCUGAAAAUCUUGAAGCGCGUUAGAAGUGUUAAGCUUCAUGCACUAGCCAACGCAGCCAAAAGUCUGAACUGAUGGAAAGGGCUAGUACAAUCCACAUAUACUAUAACACCCUCUCUCACGUGGGACGGGGAAGACAAGUCAACACAUGCAACCGGAAGAGAGCGACGGCACGCGAAACUCAGGUAUGACUCAAGAGGCCUAUACGUGGACACAAAGGAGGGCUGUCAGCAAUUUUUAAAUAAGUUGCACAAACCAGGACUUGAACUCAAGACCUUAACUCCAAUACCAUGUUAAGCUUCAUUGACUCACUGAAAAACCAGCGGCAGUCACCACAGAGGCAAAACGCUCAAACAAGGCGCGGGGGGCUUGCUUAAGGCCAUAGAGAGAGCGACGAAGACGAGAUACCAUGCCAUCAGGAACAGAAUACCCAGGUGGUGGCUGCAUGUAUACCUCCAUUUGCCUGGUUUGACACCGGGGUGCUCAUGAUUUAUAUAUAUGCAAUGAAGGCGGAGUCAUGCCAUGCUAACAUGAUAAAAUGAGUGGGGAUAACAUUCGUUAAUGAUCGUAUAUUUUGAAAAAGUAAUGAUUAUGUUUCUUAUAUUCAUGGAAAUUAUUAUGUUGAUAUUGUUACUUCAUUGUUUCUCAAUAACUAUAUCAUAAAGAUAUUACAUGAUACAUAUGUUUGUUGGGGAACGUAGUAAUUUCAAAAAAAUUCCUACGCACACGCAAGAUCAUAGUGAUGCAUAGCAACAAAAGGGGAGAGUGUUGUCUAUGUACCCUCGUAGACCGAAAGCGGAAACGUUAGAACAACGCGGUUGAUGUAGUCGUACGUCUUCACGGCCCGACCAAUCAAGCACCGAAACUACGACACCUCCGAGUUCUAGCACACGUUCAGCUCGAUGACGUCCUUCGAACUCCGAUCCAGCCGAGUGUCGAGGGAGAGUUCCGUCAGCACUACGGCAUGGUGACGAUCUUGAUUUUCUACCGUUGCAAGGCUUCUCCUAAGCACCGCUACAAUAUUAUCAAGGAGGACUAUGGUGGAGGGGGGCACCGCACACGGCUAAGAGAUCAAGAGAUCAAUUGUUGUGUCUAGAGGUGCCCCCCUGCACCCGUAUAUAAAGGAUCAAGGGGAAGGGGGCGGCCGGCCAGGAGGAGGUGCGCCAAGGGGGGAGUCCUACUCCCACCGGGAGUAGGACUCCUCCUUCCCUUGUUGGAGUAGGAGAGAAGGAAAGAGGGGGAGAGGAGGAAGGAAAAGAGGGCUGCACCCCUUGUCCAAUUCGGACCAGAGUGGGGCUGUGCGCCUCCUUCCUUUCGGCCUCUCUCCUCUAUUCCCGUAUGGCCCAAUAAGGCCCAUAUACUCCCCGGCGAAUUCCCGUAACUCUCCGGUACUGUGAAAAAUACCCGAAUCACUCGGAACCUUUCCGAAGUCCGAAUAUGGUCGUACAAUAUAUCGAUCUUUACGUCUCAACCAUUUCGAGACUCCUCGUCAUGUCCCCGAUCUCAUCCGGGACUCCGAACUCCUUUGGUACAUCAAAACUCAUAAACUCAUUAUAUAACUGUCAUCGAAACUUUAAGCGUGCGGACCCUAUGGGUUCGAGAACUAUGUAGACAUGACCGAGACACGUUUCCGGUCAAUAAACAAUAGCGGAACCUAGAUGCUCAUAUUGGCUCCUACAUAUUCUACGAAGAUCUUUUAUUGGUCAAACCACAUAACAACAUACGUUGUUCCCUUUAUCAUCGGUAUGUUACUUUCCCGAGAUUUGAUCGUCGGUAUCCAAUACCUAGUUCAAUCUCGUUACCGGCAAGUCUCUUUACUCGUUCCGUAAUGCAUCAUUCCGUAACUAACUCAUUAGCUACAUUGCUUGCAAGGCUUAUAGUAAUGUGCAUUACUAAGAGGGCCCAGAGAUACCUCUUCGACAAUCGGAGUGACAAAACCUAAUCUCGAAAUACGCCAACUCAACAUGUACCUUUGGAGAUAGCUGUAGAGCUCCUUUAUAAUCACCCAGUUACGUUGUGACGUUUGGUAGCACACAAAGUGUUCCUCCGAUAAACGGGAGUUGCAUAAUCUCAUAGUUAUAGGAACAUGUAUAAGUCAUGAAGAAAGCAGUAGCAACAUACUAAAUGAUCAAGUGCUAAGCUAACGGAAUGGGUCAUGUUAAUCACAUCAUUAUCCUAAUUAUGUGAUCCCGUUAAUCAAAUGACAACUCAUGUCUAUGGUUAGGAAACAUAACCAUCUUUGAUUAAUGAGCUAGUCAAGUAGAGGCAUACUAGUGACAUUAAGUUUUGUCUAUGUACUCACACAUGUAUCAUGUUUCCGGCUAAUACAAUUCUAGCAUGAAUAAUAAAAAUUCAUCAUGAUAUAAGGAAAUAAAUAAUAACUUUAUUAUUGCCUCUAGGGCAUAUUUCCUUCAGUCUCCCACUUGCACUAGAAUCAAUAAUCUAGUUCACAUCGCCAUGUGAUUUAACACCAAUAUUCACAUCUGUAUGUGAUUAAUACCCAAUAGUUCACAUUGUCAUGUGAUCAACACCCAAAGGGUUUACUAGAGUCAAUAAUCUAGUUCACAAAUCUAUGUGAUUAACACCCAAAGAGUACUAAGGUAUGAUCAUGUUUUGCUUGUGAGAGAAGUUUAGUCAAUGGGUCUGUCACAUUCAGAGCCGUAUGCAUUUUGCAAAAAUUCUAUGUCUACAAUGCUCUGCACGGAGCUACUUUAGAUAAUUGCUCCCACUUUUAAUAUGUAUCCAGAUUAAGACUUAGAGUCAUCUGGAUCAAUGCCAAAACUUGUAUUGACGUAACCCUUUACGACGAACCUUUUUUCACCUCCACAAUCGAGAAACAUAUCCUUAUUCCACUAAGGAUAAAUUUGACCAAUGUCCAGUGAUCUACUCCUAGAUCACUAUUGUACUCCCUUGCCAAACCAGGACAGAGUAUACAAUAGGUCUGGUCCAUAGCAUGACAUACUUUUAUAGAACCUAUGACUGAUGCAUAGGGAAUGACUUUCAUUCACUUUCUAUUUUCUGCCGUGGUCCGGAUUUGAGUCUUACUCAAUUUCUUACCUUUGCAACAUAGGCUAGAACUCUUUCUUUGACUGUUCCACUUUGAACUAUUUCAAAAUCUUGUCAAGGUAUGUACUCAUUGAAAAUAUUAUCAAGCGUCUUGAUCUAUCUCAAUAGAUCUUGAUGCUCAAUAUGUAAGUAGCUUUACUGAGGUCUUUCUUUUAAAGAACUCCUUUCAAACACUUCUUUAUGCUUUCCAGAAUUUUUUUAUAUCAUUUCUGAUCAACAAUAUGUCACUCACAUAUACUUAUCAGAAAGGCUGUAGUGCUCCCACUCAUUUUAUUGUAAAUGCAUGCUUCACUGCAAGUCCAUAUAAAACUAUAUGCUUUGAUCAAAGCGUAUAUUCCAACUCCGAGAUGCUUGCACCAGUCCAUAGUUGGAUCGCUAGAGCUUGCACAAUUUGUUAGCACCUUUAGGAUUGACAAAACCUUCUGAUUGCAUCAUAUACAACUCUUCUUUAAUAAAUCCAUUAAAGAAUGCAGUUUUGACAUCCAUUUGCCAGAUUUCAUAAAAUGUGGCAAUUGCUAAUAUGAUUCGGACAGACUUAAGCAUCGAUACGAGUGAGAAAAUCUCAUCGUAUUCAACACCUUAAACUUGUCAAAAAACUUUUGCGACAAGUCGAGCUUUGUAGAUAGUAACACUACUAUCAGCGUCUGUCUUCCUCUUGAAGAUCCAUUUAUCUUCCAUGGCUUGCCGAUCAUCGGGCAAGUCCACCAAAGUCCACACUUUGUUCUCAUACAUGGAUCUCAUCUCAGAUUUUAUGGUCUCAACCCAUUUUGCGGAAUCUGGGAUCAUCAUCGCUUCCUCAUAGUUUGUAGGUUCAUCAUGGUAUAGUAACAUGACCUCCAUAAUAGGAUUACCGUACCACUCCGGUGCGGAUCUUACUCUGGAAGACCUACGAGGUUCUGUAGUAACUUAAUCUGAAGUUUCAUGAUCAUCAUCAUUAGCUUCCUCACUAACUGGUGUAGGAAUCACUGGAACUGAUUUCUGUGAUGAACUACUUUCCAAUUCGGGAGAAGGUACAAUUACCUUAUCAAGCUCUACUUUCCUCCCACUCACUUCUUUCGAGAGAAACCCCUUCUCUAGAAAGGAUCCAUCUUAGCAACGAAUAUUUUGCCUUCGGAUCUGUGAUAGAAGGUGUACCCAACAAUUUCCUUUGGGUAUUCUAUGAAGACGCACUUCUCUGAUUUGGGUUCGAGCUUAUCAGGUUGAAAUUUUUUCUCAUAAGCAUCGCAGCCCCAAACUUUAAGAAACGACAGCUUAGGUUUAUUGCUAAACCAUAGUUCAUACGGUGUCGUCUCAACGGAUUUAGAUGGUGCCCUAUUUUAACGUGAAUGCAGCUGUCUCUAAUGCAUAGCCCCAAAACAAUAUUGGUAAAUCGGUAAGAGACAUCAUAGAUCGCACCAUAUCCAAUAAAGUGCGGUUACGACGUUCGAACGCACCACUACGAUGUGGUGUUCCAGGUGGCAUGAAUUGUGAGACUAUUCCACAUUGUUUUUAUACGAAAGCCAAACUCGUAACUCAAAUAUUCUCCUCCACGAUCAGAUCGUAGAAACUUUAUUUUCUUGUUACGAUGAUUCUCCACAUCACUCUGAAAUUCUUUGAACUUUUCAAAUGUUUCAGACUUGUGUUUUAUUAAGUAGAUAUACUCAUAUCUUGCUCAAAUCAUCUUGUGAAGGUCUGAAAAUAACGAUACCCGCCACGAGCAUCAAUACUCAUUGGACCGCAUACAUCAGCAUGUAUUAUUUCCAAUAAGUCACUAGCUCGUUCCAUUGUUCCGGAGAACGGAGUUUUAGUCAUCUUGCCCAAAAGGCACGGUUCGCAAGCAUCAAAUGAUUCAUAACCAAGUGAUUCCAAAAAUCCAUCUUUAUGGAGUUUCUUCAUGCGCUUUACACCGAUAUGACCCAAACGGUAGUGCCACCAAUAAGUUGCACUAUCACUAUAAACUUUGCAUCUUUUUGGCAUCAAUAUUAUGAAUAUGUGUAUCACUACGAUCGAGAUCCAAUAAACUAUUUUCAUUGGGUGUAUGACCAUCGAAGGUUUUAUUCAUGUAAAUAGAACAACAAUUAUUCUCUGACUUUAAAUGAAUAACCAUAUUGCAAUAAACAUGAUCAAAUCAUAUUUAUGCUCAACGCAAAAGCCAAAUAACAUUUAUUUAGGUUUAACACUAAUCCCAAAAGUAUAGGGAGUGUGCGAUGAUGAUCAUAUCAAUCUUGGAACUACUUCCAACACUGAUCGUCACUUCACCCUCAACUAGUCUCUGUUUAUUCUGUAACUCUUGUUUCGAGUUACUAAUUUUUUAGCAACCGAACAAGUAUCAAAUACUCAGGGGCUACUAUAAACACUAGUAAGGUACACAUCAAUAACCCGUAUAUCAAAUAUACCCUUGUUCACUUUGCCAUCCUUCUUAUCCACCAAAUAUUCAGGGCAUUUGCGAUUCCAGUGACCAUUUCCUUUGCAGUGUAAGAACUCAGUUUCAGGCUUUGGUCCAGCCUUGGGCUUCUUCACGGGAGUGACAACUUGCUUGUCAUUCUACUUGAAGUUCCCUUUCUUUCCCUUUGCCCUUUCUUUGAAACUAGUGGUCUUGUUAAUCAUCAACACUUGAUGCUCUUUCUUGAUUUCUACCUUCGUCGAUUUCAGCAUCACGAAGAACUCGGGAAUCGUUUUCAUCAUCCCUUGCAUUAUAGUUCAUCACGAAGUUCCAGUAACUUGGUGAUGGUGACUAGAGAACUCUGCCAAUCACUAUCUUAUCUGGAAGAUUAACUCCCACUUGAUUCAAGCGAUUGUAGUACUCAGACAAUCUCAGUACUUGCUCACUAUUUGAGUAAUUCUCCUCCAUCUUUUAGGCGAAGUAUUUGUCAAAGGUCUCAUACCUCUUGACACGGGCAUGAGUCUGAAAUACCAAUUUCAUCUCUUGAAACAUAUUAUAUGUUCCAUGAUGUUUCAAAAACGUUUUUGUAGUCCCGGUUCUAAGACAUAAAGCAUGGUGCACAAAACUAUCAAGUAGUCAUCAUAUUGAGCUAGGCAAACGUUCAUAACGUCUGAAUCUGCUCCUGCAAUAGGUCUGUCACCUAGCGGUGCAUAAAGGACAUAAUUCUUCUGUGCAGCAAUGAGGAUAAACCUCAGAUCACGGACCAAGUCCGCAUCAUUGCUACUAACAUCUUUCAACUUAGUUUUCUCCAGGAACACAUAUAAAACAUAGGGAAGCAACAACGCGAGCUAUUGAUCUACAACAUAAUUUGCAAAAUACUACCAGGACUAAGUUCAUGAUAAAUUAAAGUUCAAUUAAUCAUAUUACUUAAGAACUCCCACUUAGACAGACAUCUCUCUAGUCAUCUACGUGAUCACGUAAUCCAAAUCAACUAAACCAUGUCCGAUCAUCACGUGAGAUGGAGUAGUUUUCAAUGGUGAACAUCACUAUGUUGAUCAUAUCUACUAUAUGAUUCACGUUCGACCUUUCGGUCUCCAUGUUCCGAGGCCAUAUCUGUAUAUGCUAGGCUCGUCAAGUUUAACCUGAGUAUUCCACAUGUGCAACUGUUUUGCACCCGUUGUAUUUGAACGUAGAGCCUAUCACACCCGAUCAUCACGUGGUGUCUCAGCACGAAGAACUUUCACAAUGGUGCAUACUCAGGGAGAACACUUCUUGAUAAUUAGUGAGAGAUCAUCUUAAAAUGCUACCGUCAAUCAAAGCAAGAUAAGAUGCAUAAAGGAUACACAUCACAUGAAUCAACAUAAGUGAUAUGAUAUGGCCAUCAUCAUCUUGUGUUUGUGGUCUCCAUCUCCGAAGCACCGUCGUGGUCACCAUUGUCACCGGAGCGACACCUUGAUCUCCAUCGUAGCAUCGUUGUUGUUUCGCCAUCUAUUGCUUCUACGACUAUCGCUACCGCUUAGUGAUAAAGUAAAGCAAUUACAGGGUGCUUGCAUUUCAUACAAUAAAGCGACAACCAUAUGGCUCCUGCCAGUUGCCGAUAACUCAGUUACAAAACAUGAUCAUUUCAUACAAUAAAAUAUAACAUCACGUCUUGACCAUAUCACAUCACAACAUGCCCUGCAAAAACAAGUUAGACGUCCUCUACUUUGUAGUUGCAAAUUUUACGUGGCUGCUACAGGCUAAGCAAGAACCGUUCUUACCUACGCAUAAAAACCACAACGAUAGUUCGUCAAGUUAGUGCUGUUUUAACCUUCACAAGGACCGGGCGUAGCCACACUCGGUUCAACUAAAGUUGGAGAAACUGACACCCGCCAGCCACCUGUAUGCAAAGCACGUCGGUAAAACCAGUCUCGCGUAAGUGUACGUGUAAUUUCGGUCCAGGCCGCUUCAUCCAACAAUAUCGCCGAACCAAAGUAUGACUUGCUGGUAAGCAGUAUGACUUGUAUCGCCCACAACUCACUUGUGUUCUACUCGCGCAUAUAACAUUUACGCAUAAAACCUGGCUCGGAUGCCACUAUUGGGGAACGUAGUAAUUUCAAAAAAUUUCCUACGCAUACGCAAGAUCAUGGUGAUGCGUAUCAACAAGAGGGGAGAGUGUUGUCUACGUACCCUCAUAGACCGAAAGCGGAAGCGUUAGAACAAUUUGGUUGAUGUAGUCGUACGUCUUCACGGCCCGAUCAAUCAAGCACCAAAACUACGGCACCUCCGAGUUCUAGCAUACGUUCAGCUCGAUGACAUCCUUCAAACUUCGAUCCAGCCAAGUGUCGAGGGAGAAUUCCGUUAGCACGACGGCGUGGUGACGAUCUUGAUGUUCUACCGUCGCAGGGCUUCUCCUAAGCACCGCUACAAUAUUAUCGAGGAGGACUAUGAUGGAGGGGGGGGGCACCGCACACGACUAAGAGAUCAAGAGAUCAAUUGUUGUGUCUAGAGGUGCCCCCUGCCCCCGUAUAUAAAGGAUCAAGGGGGAGGAGGCGGCCGGCCAGGAGGAGGCGCGCCAAGGGGGGAGUCCUACUCCCACCGGGAGUAGGACUCCUCCUUCCCUUGUUGGCGUAGGAGAGAAGGGAAGAGGGGGAGAGGAGGAAGGAAAAGGGGGCUGCACCCCUUGUCCAAUUCGGACCAGAGGGGGGCUGCGCGCCUCCUUCCUUUCGGCCUCUCUCCUCUAUUCCCGUAUGGCCCAGUAAGGCCCAUAUACUCCCACACGAAUUCACGUAACUCUCCGGUACUCCGAAAAAUACCCGAAUCACUCGGAACCUUUCUGAAGUCCGAAUAUAGUCAUCCAAUAUAUCGAUCUUUACGUGUCGACCAUUUCGAGACUCCUCGUCAUGUCCCCGAUCUCAUCUGGGACUCCGAACUCCUUCGGUACAUCAAAACUCAUAAACUCAUAAUAUAACUGUCAUUGAAACCUUAAGCGUGUGGACCCUACGGGUUCGAGAACUAUGUAGACAUGACCGAGACACGUUUCCGGUCAAUAACCAAUAGCGAAACCUGGAUGCUCAUAUUGGCUCCUACAUAUUCUACGAAGAUCUUUUAUCGGUCAAACCGCAUAACAAUAUACGUUGUUCCCUUUGUCAUCGGUAUGUUACUUGCCCGAGAUUUGAUCGUCGGUAUCCAAUACCUAUUUCAAUCUCGUUACUGGCAAGUCUCUUUACUCGUUCCGUAAUGCAUCAUUUCGUAACUAACUCAUUAGUUACAUUGCUUGCAAGGCUUAUAGUGAUGUGCAUUACCGAGAUGGCCCAGAGAUACCACUCCGACAAUCGAAGUGACAAAACCUAAUCUCGAAAUAUGCCAACUCAACAUGUAUCUUUGGAGACACCUGUAGAUCUCCUUUAUAAUCACCCAGUUAUGUUGUGAUGUUUGGUAGCACACAAAGUGUUCCUCUGGUAAACGGGAGUUGCAUAAUCUCAUAGUUGUAGGCACAUGUAUAAGUCAUGAAGAAAGUAUACGCCAACUCAACAUGUACCUUUGGAGACACCUGUAGAGCUCCUUUAUAAUCACCCAGUUACGUUGUGACGUUUGGUAGCACACAAAGUGUUCCUCCGGUAAACGGGAGUUGCAUAAUCUCAUAGUUGUAGGAACAUGUAUAAGUCAUGAAGAAAGCAGUAGCAACAUACUAAACGAUCAAGUGCUAAGCUAACGGAAUGGGUCAUGUCAAUCACAUCAUUCUCCUAAUGAUGUGAUCCCGUUAAUCAAAUGACAACUCAUGUCUAUCGUUAGGAAACAUAACCAUCUUUGAUUAAUGAGCUAGUCAAGUAGAGGCAUACUAGUGACAUUAAAUUUUGUCUAUGUAUUCACACAUGUAUCAUGUUUCCGGCUAAUACAAUUCUAGCAUGAAUAAUAAACAUUCAUCAUGAUAUAAGGAAAUAAAUAAUACCUUUAUUAUUGCCUCUAGGGCAUAUUUCCUUCAAUGUUAGCUAGCAUUACACAUCAAAAUUUUUGUUUUUAUCAUUUACCUAUUCGAGGAUGAGCAGGAAUUAAGCUUGAGGAUGUUGACAUGUCCAACAUAUCUAUAAUUUUUUAUUGUUUCAUGCUAUCAUAUGAUCAAUCUUGGAUGCUUUAUAUGUAUUUUAUACUAUUUUAUAUCUUUUUGGACUAACCUAUUAUUUUGAAAAAAAAUUGAAUUGUUUGGAUUGCUUACCACAUGUGUCACGUGGUUUGGGACUAACUUUUUAACCCAAUGCCUAGUGCUAGUUAAUGUUUUUUUUGCUUGUUUUUGGCUCUUCAGAAAAACAAUACCAAAUGAACUUCAAACAUGAUGAAACUUUACGGUAAUUUUUUCUGGACUAGAAGAGGCCCUAGAAGGUUCGGGAGGAGGCUAGAAGAUCUACGGAAGAGCCACGAGCUCACAGGGCACGCCCCCGAGCUCAUGGGCCCCACGCAGCUCCGUUUGACCUAAUUUCAACUCCAUAACUUCACAUAUAUUUCCAAACCAAUAGAGAGCCACCCGAAACACUUUUUUUCCACCGCAAGCUUCUGUUCUUCCGUGAUCCCAUCUGGAGGCCUUUUCCGGUACUCUGCCGGAGGAGGAAUCGAUCAUGGAGGGCUUCUAUAUCAUCCUUGCUGCCUUUCGAUGAUGCAUGCAUAGUUCAUGACAGACCUACGGGUCCAUAUCUAGUAGGUAGAUGGCUUCAUCUCUCUCUUUGAUCUUCAAUACAAUGUUCUCCUCGAUUUUCUUAGAGCUUUUUUAUCCUAUGUAAUCUUUUUUUGCGGUGCGUUUAUUGGGAUGCAGUGAAUUAUGGGUUUAUGAUCAAAUUAUUAACUGAAAGUAAUUGUGUCUUUUCUGAGCUUUAUUAUGCAUGAUUGUUAUAGCUUCGUAUUAUCCUCCGAUCAAUUCGUUUGGUUUCGCCAACUAGAUUGAUUUAUCUUCAGUGGGAGAGGUGCUUUGUAAUGGGUUCAAUCUUGCGGUGUCCUCAUAUAGUGACAGAAGGGGAAGCAAGGCACAUAUAGUAUCGUUGCCAUUAAGGAUAAAACGACGUGGUUUAAUCAUAUUUCUUGAGUUUACUUUGUCUAGAUCAUGUCAUCUUGCUUAAGGUGUUACUCUGUUUGCCAUGAACUUAAUACGAUAGAUGCAUGCUAAAUAGCGGUCGAUUGGUGGAGUAAUACUAGUAGAUGUAGGCAGGAGUCGAUCUACUUGUCACAGACAUGACUAUAUACAUGAUCAUUGCCAUGAAUAUGUCAUAACUAUGUGUUUUUCUAUCGGUUGUCUAACAGUAAUUUGUUUACCCACAAUAUGCUACGUGUUCGAGAGAGAAGCCUCUAAUGAAAACUAUGGCGCUAGGUCUACUUUUAUCAUAUUAUUAAAACUAAAAAUACCUUCAUGCAAUUUUAUACUUUUUUUACUUUUCUUUUUAUCUAUCUAUCACUAUCAGAAUUAAUCCUUGCAAAUAAUGAGUUCAAGGGGAAUGACAAGACUCUUGCCGCGUUGGGUGCAAGUAUUUGCUUUUGUGUGUGUAGGUGCUGAAAAAGGGAAUUUGCGUGGUUCUCCUAUUGGUUUGAUAACCUUGGUUCUCACUGACGGGAAUACUUAUCUCUAUUGUAUUGCUCCACCCAUCCUCUUGGGGGAAAUCCCAACGCAGUUUAGAAGUAGCACUACUCCUCCUUCCUCCUCCAUAGACGCUUGGCGAAGCCCUGCCACAGCUCCACCAUAAAAUCCACCACCACGCCAUCGUGUUGGCCUAGAUCUCAUCUACCUAUCCCUGUCGCUUGCUGGAUGAAGGAGACAUCACCGAGCCAUACGUGUGCAUAUCCCUGAGGUGUCAUUCGUGCGGUGCUGGAUCGGAUUGGAUCACGAAGAGUGUACGACUACGCCAAGCACAUUCAUUAGAACGUUUCUGUUUUAGGUCUAGAAGGGUUUGUAGACUUUUCCCCCUCGUUGCUAGCAUCUAGUUGAUUAGAUCUCGGAUGUUUUCAUUGUCUCGUAGGAAAAAAAUUGUUUUUCAUGCAUUGAUUCUCAUCACCGACCUGCUUCAAAAGAAGCAGGUAGGAGCCCAGGCGGCCCGAGCUCAGCAGGUUGCCGGGUGGGAGGUCCCUAACAGGUGCAUCCAAGAAUGCAACAACCUCCAAGUAGAGAAGGCGUCCCUAACCGAGAGGACGAGACAACAAGAGCUGGAGCUGGAAGAAGUUAAGUCUCGCCUGGUCGAUGCCGGGAGCGUCGCGGCGGGCCCUUGAGAUCAUAGCCAGUGAGUCUGUCCAUGCUUCAACUCAUAAACUAGGUGGAAAUUUUAUUUGCCGAUCUGACAUACAAAUUCAUUAUUUCCAGCAUCUUUUCCCGACCUGCCAGCCAAUGCUGUUGGAGCGUCCCUUAGGGAGAAACUGCAGCAGUUUGGAGAGUUAAACAAGAUUGCGAGGCCGGUAAUGGAGGGUAUUUUCUUGGCCCUAUGGCCUGGAAGAAAGGUUGUCGGAAAACCAGUUUGACCUCUGCCGCCGCCUCCAGGAGGGGCAUGCUCGGAUUGCCCUGUGAAAGGCGUUAGUGGCCUGAGAAGAUGCUCGUCAAGCGUGGGCCAUGCUCCAGACCCACUAUCCGGGCUUGAACAUCUGCCCUAUUGCCGUAGUUGGUCCAAAAGGACCUGACGGUAAGGAGAUUAUGCCCUAUGCUAGGAUGUCCGAGCAGGAUUGUCGUUUGAAAAGAUUAUUGAAUAGGCUAGGAGUGUUACCCUGGAUUGUCAAGGACGAAACGUUGAAUAAAAACUUCUCGAAUUUCGCUACCACCAUGUUUAUUUUUUUCUAUACCAACAACAUGAUAGGUUUGCUCCGACCUGUUAGCAUACGCUUGCAUUAACCGGCCUUUGGCUUCAACCUCAACAACCAAAUGUGGAGGCCUUAUAAUUGAUGUUAACGCAAUGAGUAGGGAUCACCAUGCAACUAGGAUGCAAACAUAUCUAUGAAUAUAUGAAAUAUCUCGCAAGGAUUAAGUGGGGGUGUGUCCAACUUGUUUGCUCAUGAAGACCUCAAGCAUUUGAUAAAGCUCAUCAUCGGGAUAUACAAGGAAAAUUAUACAAUAUAAAUUCCCCAAGCUAGUAUAAAACAUGAAGCUCAUGAAACUUUAAUUAGAUGUAAAUUGUCCAGACCAACAAAAGUUCUUUAGUAAGGGUCUCUGACGAGAAUUUAUUUCAUCGAAAGUGUCCUACUCAGCUUGAGCUCAUAUGAAUUUUUUUAUUGCCGUGAAAAAGAUGAAUGCCAUUCUAUGAUGAAACCUUGCAAGGAUUUAUAACAUUUGUCAAAUUAAGCCACACACAAAAAAUCAGAAAUUUUUGAAUUCUCUCUAAAUAUUUUCAGAUUUUAUUGCUCACCCGAGCUCAUAUGAGCUCGAGCUCAGUUAAUCCGUGUCCAUGUUUCAUCCUACUCUACUAGCAAAAACCAAUGGAGCAGACGGUAGUGACGUGGAAAAGAAACCAUAACAAAUUUUUAGUGAUAUAUAAUUAAAGAAACAGAAAUUUACAAUUGCAAAUUAGGGAAUCUUAAUGUCAAAUACUGAAUUCUUCCACCCACUAGCUGUGAGACAUAUCCAUUGCAGUGCCAAAUAAAGAAGCUUUUCCAUGAAUUAAUAACAACAAGACAAUGGUCCGCGUGUUGUAUAUAAUAAAUAGAGUCCUGCUUCGGUACAACCCCCCUCGCAAUAUGUAUAAAGGGUAAUAUGGACUUUUCACAAUCUGUAUCUACUUCUGUACGUAACAUAUACGCCAGGCAGCUUACUUGGGCCGGCCCAUUUGCGGUGGCAUGCGAUGAAAAAUAGCGAAAAAGGAUCACACAAACUGGGAAUCGAAACCGACGACCACUUCAAAAUUUAACUGCGUCCACAACCACUGCGAUAGCAUGCCUUUGUUGAAUGAUCUAAAGUUGGAAACAAUAAAUAAUUGACAGGCUGGGAAUUUUAAAAAGAUUUCAGUAACACUUUCUGAACUGGCGUUUUUUCCAUAAUUUCUUUCUAUUUAUUUUCCUUUUCCUGCUAUUCUUCUUUCUUUUUCAAAAAUGUUCGCGCUUUCAAAAUGUUGUUCCAAAUUUCAAACGGUUCAUUAUUUCCAAGUUUUGUUCAUAAACUAAAAAUAUUUGCAUUUUUGAAAAUUGUAUUGUAAUUUGAAAAAAUGUUUGUGACUUUGAAAAAAUGUUCAGAAUGUAAAAUGUGAAUAAUGUUUUGAAAACCACAAAUAAAAUUGUGAAAAUGAACAUUUUCUGAGAGCACGGACAAAAAAUUAAAUUCCAAAGCAUUUUUCAGAAAUGAGACUAAAUAAAUGAUCUCAUAAAAUUAUUCUAAAUUUACACGAUUAUUUUUUAAAAUUUGUCAGAAUAUUUUUGAAAAUGAGAACAUUUUCUAAAUUCCGAACAAAUUCCAGUAGUCGCCCGACAAGAGCGAUGCCGUUGCUUAGUUGGGCAAGGCCUAAAGUUUUUUCUUUUCUAUUUUUUCGUUUUAUUCUCUUUUUUGUUAAUUUAUCUUUUCACCUUUUUGAACUUUAUGGUUCUUUUUUUUAACCUGCUCAAAAAAUUGAAAUACCAAAAUAAUAGUUUUAAGGAACUAUUUUAAAUUAUGAUUUUAAUUCUUUUUUUGUUUCAAUAUUUCUUAAAUGCUUUUUAAAAAGCAUCUGUUGUUUUCAAUUCUAUUAUUUAGUAUUUAUUGAUUAUUUUAGAAAUUUAAAAUGACAGUUUGAAGUAUCUAUAUAAAUUAUGAUUUUAAAUGACCCCAACAUUUGCCAGCUGGUGGCAUGGCCAUGGUAGGCAUCCAUGCCCCAAUAUUCUUUCAUGGCCUCGUAUGACCAAUUCAAUGCACCAUGACAAGUUGUUUUGGUUUUCGACAAAUUUUGUAUUUUUCUAGAGUUUUCUCGAUAAGAAAAUGCAAAAAAAGGCCGGACGUGUUGCAACUUUCAUACUGUGUCAGAAAUUGUUCAAACCUGGCAUGGAUGCCUAUGAGGGGCAUGCCCAUCUGGUGGCAAAAGUUGGGGCCAUUUUAAGGAUGUACUCCCUCCGUCCGAAAAUACUUGUCAUCAAAAUGGAUAAUAAGGGAUGUACGUAGAACUAAAAUACAUGUAGAUACAUCUCCUUUUAUCCAUUUUGAUGACAAGUAUUUUCGGACGGAGGAAGUAUAAAUAGACCAUGUUGAACAAACUGUGUUCUCGGGCAGAAGGAUUCGUCUGAGAGCAUGUUAGUUCUCGACAUCCUUGAAAUUAAUCCAAUUUUUUUCAAGGGCCUCGUAUGACCAAUUCAAGGCAUCAUGGAAAGUUGUUUGGGUUUUCAACAAGUUUUGCAUUUCCUGGAGUUUCUUGGUGAAAAAGUAACAAUUAAUGAUAGAACAUGUCGCAACGUGCAUACGGUGUCGGAAGUCAUUCAGACCAAGUAUGGAUGCCUAACAUGGGCAUGCCCACUUGCUUGCAAAAGUUGGGGGUAGUCCUGAUAUUUCCAAAGAAAUACCAUGUUGGAUGGAGAGUGUUCGAAUAGGCUAGAAGGAUCUGUUUGCGAGCUCCAUUUCUCAUGGCCUUGUAUAACCAAUUCAAGGCACCACACCAAAUUGUUUUGGUUUUGUCCAAUUUUGCGUUUUCUGAAGUUUUUGUGGUUAAGAAGGCCGAUAAAUGACCGGAUGUGUCAACACUUGAAUAUGGUGUAGAAAAACGUCCAAACUAGGCAUGUGCCUACCAUGGGCAUGCCUACCUUCUUGCAAAAGUGGGGUUCAUUUUAAAGAUGUUCAAAAAUAGACUAUGUUCAACGGAGAGUGUUCGAAUAGUGCAGAAGGGUCCGUUUGAAAGCUCGUUGUUUACUGACAUCUGUCAAAUAACCCCAAAUAUUUUUCAUGAGCUUCUAUGACCAAUUCAAGGCACAAUGCCAAUUUGUUUAGAUUUUUGAAAAGUUUUGUAUUUUCUAGAGUUUUCUCAUUGAAAGUAGGCCGAUAAAUGGUCGGACGUGUCACAACAUGUAAAGGGUGUCGGAAGUCAUUCAAACCUGGCGUGGAUGCCUCAUAUGUCCAAGCCAGGCUCUUGCAAGAAGGUGGGAUCAUUUAUCAAUAGCCUAAAAUAUACCAGUUAGAUGAGUUUAUUUCUAAUUCCCUUCAUUAUCACUCAACAUAAACAUUUUAUUUUUUCCUAACAAUUUCUUGAAAUUUCUCAACAAUUUUGGAACUUCAAAGUGUGUAUGAAAAAUUUACUAACUUGAACACUUUUUUCCAAAAUUGUUAACAAAUUACGAAAGAAUGAUGAAAAUUUCGAACAAAAAAGCAAACCGCGUACUUCUUAAAAAAAUUGUCAACUUUUUUGAAACACAUACAUUUCUUAAAUUUGUGAACAACAAAAUUCGAAAACUAGAACAUUUUAUGAAAUUCCAGAAUAUUUUUUAUAAUUUAAACAAUAUUUGAAAACAAAAUCAUUUUAUGUUAUGCCAAACAUUUUUUCCAAAAUUUGAACAAGUUUCACAAAGAUUAAUAAAGUUCAAAAGUAGAAAAAUGAAUUAACAAAAAGAGAAAAAAAAAGAAACUAACUGCAAUGAAAAAAAUGCUUAGGCCCUAGAAAAUAAGAAUGUUUCCGGAAAAUUUAAGUAUAUUUGGAAAAAUAUUCGUAAAUUUUAAAAAUUGUUUGUGUUUUUGAAUAAUGCUCGCCAAUUUGAAAAAGUUUUGCAUUUUAAAAAAAUGUUCAGAUAUUUCAAAAUUGUUUAUGUUUUCAAGAAAAUGGUCACAAAUGUGAUAAAUUAUUCAUCUUUUCAAAAAAAUCUGCAGUUUCAGAUAUAUGUUUACAAUACUGAAAAACUGUUCUUAAACUUUCAAAAAUAUUCACAAAAUCAAAGUAUUUUUCAUAAAAAAGGGUUCGGGAAUUUGAAAAAAAUGCGUUUCCAAAAGAAGUCCAAAUUUUGAAAAAUGUUUCGUAUUUUUAAAAAUAUUCCAAUAGAUGAAAAAACACAUUAGGUUUUUUAGCUAUAAAAAAUGCUUUAGCUAGAAUGUCCUGCCCAGUUGUGUUUUCCAAAAGAAGUCCGUGCACCAAUUUUGAUCUGCUAGAGUAUUUCUAGUAAAAAAAAAGCUCCUACAGUACGUCUGUUCUAGGUAAUAAACAACUACACUUCAAAAAUAUCAGCAAAUCCAGAUGGUUCUGGUGGCUAUUAGCAGUUUCCCAACCGCUGGAGGUCCUGUGUUCGAUGCCCAAUAGGCACACUAUGUUUUGGAUUUUUGAUCGGUGCUACCGCACAUACUCUCUCUAAUGGGCCGGCCCAAAAUAGACUCAGAACAUGACAGAUCUUCGCGACGUAUUUUCUUGAAAGACCAUCCUACUCUUUAUUAUGAAAAGGUAUAGACAGAUCUCGUCCAUUGAUGUAUUCGGGGGUUGUGCCGAAGAAGAAGAUAUAGACCUAUGAGGAAUUACGUAUGCAUGCUCAAGAACCUAUGUUCGUACAUACAUACACAAAAUCAUAUAGAACAAAAGGUAUGCUCCGGUCAGAAAGCAGAGUCGUACAGCAGAGUUUUGGACAAAAGUGAAGUUCACAAAAGACCUUCAUACGAGAUAGGCCAUUGUUUCAACUCGUAGUUUAGGCCUUGCCGGACUCCUCGCAACCCGGUGGCCUAAAGGCGAUGAAGCUGACGCACUGCACCUGGCGCAGGUUGUCGAAGCCGAUGACACGGACAUAGGCGUCAGGGUACUCCUUCUUGACCUCCUCCACCUCGUUCAGCACCUGUGUGGCGUCAGUGCACCCGAACAUAGGCAGCUUCCACAUUGUCCAGUAUCGGCCGUCGUAGUACCCGGGGGAGCUGUUGUGCUCACGGAAGACGAAGCCAACCUUGCUGAACUCGAGGCAGGGCACCCACUUUGAGCGGAUCAGGUAGUCGACCUGUUUCAGGAGGGCCUCCGUGGAUAGGGGUGGCAGGUAAGACAGGGUCUCGAACUUCUUGAUGCCCUCAAUUGGCCACACCUAAAUGAAUAGAAUGCGCACAGAUGCUCAAUACUUGGUGAUAAGUCAAUUAAUUGUACUAAACUACGCUAGAAAAAAUCAGUCGACAAGCCAAAAAUUGCUCCUUAUGGGCAGCUCUCAUAUGCAUUGCUGGGUUGUUCACAAUCAAUAAAGCUUUGGUUGUACUUAGUGCUAGUAUAUGGGUCCUAUUUCGAGGAUGGGUUUGGUUAUAUACAUUGGGGAUGUUCUGCAAGUGAAUUACUUGCACUGACAAAGAAACUCAUAUCUGUUUAAUUAGUGCCCGACAUACCUGCAUGCACCUGAUCCUUCCGCCAUUGCUGACGCUGCUGAGGCUGCCGCUGGAGCGGCGGCCGACGGGGAGACCGGCUGUGGACUUGAGCCCCUGGAAGGGUGCGACGGUGGUAGCCGAGGAAGCCAUCACGGCGGGGGCCAUGGUAAUGUAUUAUCUGGAGGAGAGGAGGAUGCCGGCUACACUUGAGACCCCAUUGCCUGGUCACCACGCUAUAUAUAGCAGCGUUUCUUUCGUACAGAUGUGGUAGGGGUGGCUCACGUUCGCUGGUUGCCUCGUUUCCUUAUCUUCUCCGGAUCAGUGGAAGAAGCAUAUCCGUCGGAUGCAUUGUGUGUGCUGGAAAUUGUGUGAGGAUGGGACUUGAGUGGUUCGGCCAAAAUAUUUUUCAUUUUAUUAUAAGAUCUGCUGGCUCACUCUCUCGAAAGUGCUCAUAGGCGAAGAAUAUGCGUGUGUGCAUUCAUAAGAGAUGAUGUACAUGUGCCUAUGUGAACAUCCACGUUUGUACAAUGUUUCUCAAAAUAAAAUAUAUGUUUUCUUGGUACAAUUAACUGAACAAGCAUAGUAACCGUCCACAGGUAGAACAAGUUCUUUCCCUCUCGCAUGGCGAUUAGGGAAAGCUUUCCUCCCCUCGAUAUCCGCCGGCGAGCCUGUGGAUUUGCCUCCCCUCUGCGGGAAGGGGAUUCCUAGUGUCUCGUCUCCGGCUAGUAGAUGGGUAGGGUUUUUGUCCUCAGAGGGGUGACACUUGGACGGAUAGCGGCGCUUUUUCUUCAAGUUAGUCUUUCAGGAUCCGAUCCUAUUGAAGUUCCUCUAUUUGGGGAGCUCCGACGUAGAUUUGGCGAGCUCCUCGGGUGGCAAGGUUAGAAUUUCUCGUUAUGUGUGCGAACAAUGAAAUUUUGUGUCAGGGUCUUCAGAUCGAUUCAGGGAUUCAACGGCGACGACUGCCGCAAGAGCACUGAUCCUUAGAGGCAUGUGCAUGAAGACUCACUGGCUAUCAUCGACAAGGUCAUGCUAGCUCCAGUGUGGGAGCAAGAACAAUGGUGUGUUAGCGGCUCGUCUUCGCAGAGGCAAUGGCCAUUCGAUGGUCCAUGGACCUAGAUAAAUUUUUUAAUGUUUGAGGUGAUUUCUGCUUCCGGUGAAUCUUUAUAAUAGAUCUUGUCCUUUAGGCCAAAAAAAAAGAAACUAAACUAGGGUAGUGGCGCUUUCAUCCUAAUAUUACAUUCUUUAACAAAAAUAUUUUAAUAUAUACUAGCAAAAUGGCCCGUGUGUUGGAAUGGGAGAAAAGAAUACCACACGCUUUUAAUUUAUAAAAAAUGGUCUAGAUAAUCUGAAUAUUGGUAGCUACGGCCCAAACAAAGAUGGUCUUUGCCUACAAAAACGCAAGUUCAAGAUUCCACAUGCAUGUCUUCUAUUUAAACACGACUUGCAUGUAGAUUUAAUACAUACAAAGAAAUGGGCAAGUGAUCUUCAAUUUCGUUUCCAAUCCUGAUUUUGCUGAGAUGUGCAUCCACAAUCCGGAUCAGUACUGAUAUGAAAGAAAGAUGGAUAAUGCAUUAUAUUAACAGAUAAAAUAACAUCAUGUUCAGAUUUUAUAUUUUUUCUAAUCAAAUUCCAUAUAUAACAUGUUAAAUUUGAAGUUACGGUAUAGAAGAUAUGAGUAUUUUAAAAAACAUUUAAUAUGUAUUGUGGGUUUAAUGUCAGAAACAUUAGGGGGUUUUCUAUAAAAUAGCAUGACAGACUAAGAAUACCUAUUUCUUUUAUUAGUAGGUAUAGAUAGCAUGUUAUAUAUAGUCAAGGUUUCAAGGGUAUAAAAGUUCUCGCCUAUAAUAUAACAUGAUCCAACGGAGUGAUUUAAAAAAUAUAACUGUAUGUGUCCUGAAAAAAAAACAAUGUUCAGUAUAUAUUUAUGUAACAAUGAGCUAAGAUUUUUAUUUUGCUGAGGGAACAUAAAUGCAUAUAUAGUAUCCCUUCAAAUUUUCUCCCCUAACUUCUUUCUCCACAAUGCACCAACAGGAUAACAAUCCCUCUAGCGGGAUAUACAAGUCAUACUUAAUUAGAUAGACAAAUUCAAUCUUUGGCCAAUAACUAAUCCUUUUUUUAUUGUCAAAUUGAGCAACAAUUAAAUCCCAUAAAUGUUAUCGUUCAAAGAUUGGACGUGGAUGGUCAAAAUACACCAUAAAUAUAUCCUGGUGGAGGGAGUAAUAUUCUUUCGCCAUGCAUGAACUUGCAUCAUCAUAUGUUCCACAUCAUCCAACAUUUUUCUCUUGUGAAUCAAAAAAGAAAUAAAAAAAUUGGAAAUCAAAAAUCAUGAAAUGGAUUUAACUCAGCAUAUAAUACAUACUAAAUUGAGUUGGCUUUAAAUAUCAUUGGUUGUGUUGGGUGCAUAAGCAUUGGGUUCUCAAAGAGAAUUCAGUAAUAUAAAUAAGUUUUAUGGCGUCAAUUUAAUUUUUUUGAUAAUAAUUGUUUUAGGUCAUCAAACAUAACUGAAUAAUCUGAAGAAAGUGUUAUGGAAACCCUUCGAACUAUGUAACUAUUACAUGUGUGUAAUAUGCAAGAAAAAGAUAUAAGCAAACAAUAUAUAUUUUUUGAAUAAUUUGGAAGCAAACAAUAUAUGUAGGAGAUAUAUUGAUAAAUCAAAGCUAGAGUUGCACCAUCUUAAUGUUUGUACAACUGUGCUUCUAAACAACAUUGUAGAAGCAAGUGUUUGCAAGAACCAUACACUAGUAGAAAAAGGGGCAAAUCUGAGACACCUUAGUGCCGGUUCGAUUUUGAGCCGACACUAAUGUGUCCAUUAGUGCCGGUUCGAUUUUGAGCCGACACUAAUGUGUCCAUUAGUGCCGGUUCAAACGGCUAGCCGGCCGCUCUCAUUAGUACCGGUUCAUGGUGAACCUUUAGCACCGGUUCGUGCCACGAACCGGUACUAAAGAGAGUGGUGGCAGGAUGUUGUCAGUCUGGGGCCCGUCCAGCACCUUUAGUACCGGUUCGUGGCACGAACCGGUACUAAAGGUCGACGUACAUAAACCCUUCGUCCACCCGAGCCACUCUGUUCUUCCCCUCACUUCCUCUGUUCUUCCCCUCUCUUCCUCGAGCUCCUCACAAAUUUUGCCCAAAAUUUGUCAAGAUUUGAAGGCCCACAUCCAUUCAAAUGAUCACAAAGGUUAGCAACUUUGUCCUUUCAACUCUCAUUGCUAGAUUAGCUCUUGCAAUGCUUUGUAUAGUGAUUAAUUUGGGAGGAAAUAUAUUUGCUAGUAUUUGAUUUAUAUGCAAUUUCAGGUCAAAAAUAACACUUAGUUUGCAUAUGUAGGUGUGGUUUACUUAGUGCCUUCUAAAUCUCCGUCGUAACCACCGUCGAUCGCCCGCACCAUCCCGUCGCCGGCACCACCUUGUGGUGAGGCUCUUGUUCAUGAAUGUUUUACAUUACCAAAUUGAUGUUUGUGUGAUUUGGAUAUAUAGUUACUCGUAUAAUUGUCUUACCCGUACGUUGUUUGUUAUACAUAGUGCCAUGGUUUUGAUAUCCGUCCCCGUCGGCCCUCGUCCUUGUUAUGAUUCGGAUGUGGUAUAUUCUCUUUUAAAACUAGUUGUUGCAUUUCGUGUUUAUGACAAAUUAUGCCCAUCAAGUUGACAUAGAUAUUUUUAUCUAGGAGGUAUGUGAACCGGAAAUUCCAACCGACCCUAUUGUCGAGAGGUUAAAUUUAGUUGAAAGAGAAAAUGAGUAUUUGAAAGAAAAAUUGAAAAGAAUUGAGGGGGAGAAGAUGGAAUUGGAGUUGCAUGUUGCCGAUGUCGUCGAUGAUCACAAGAUCAAGAUGGAGAAAAUGAGGUUAAAGAUUAGAAAGAUUAGAAAAUAUGCCAUUGAUAGUGUGGCUUGGUAUCAUUAUGUUGUUGGAUCAAUUGUUGCCUUAGUUGCGGUCUUGAUCGCAUUUGUUGUUGCAUUUAAAUUCUUUAGCUAGAGAGUUAUUUGUAUGUUGCAUUUAAUUAAGUGUUGUAUAUGAACUUUAUGUAUGAACUUUAUGUAUGAACUUGUAUUAAUUUGGUUUAUUCGGUGUUAUGUAUAAUGAAGAUAUGAGCCGACAAUGGAUAUAUGAUGACCGAUGCUCUCCCGGGUUCAUUAAUGGCGUGCAUAAUUUUCUGCUUGCCGCUGAGGCAAACAAGCGGGCGGAUGGUUUUAUGCCUUGUCCAUGUGCUGGCUGUAAGAAUUGUCACAAUUACUCUACGUCAAGAACCAUUCACGUCCACCUAUUUGAGUCCGGUUUCAUGCCCCACUAUAAUGUUUGGACCAAGCACGGAGAAAGAGGGGUUAUGAUGGAAGACAAUGAAAGAAGACGACGACAUCUAUCCUGGCCAUGGGUUCCCUGAAUACGAUGAUACAACAAUGGAGGAAGAAGCUGAGCCGGCAAUGCGGGAACAAGCUGAAGAAGAGGCAUCAGAUGAGCCCGCUGAUGAUCUAGUGAAAGGAUCAAUAUGGUUGACUAGAGGGGGUGAAUAGGCAACUAACAAUUUUUAAGCUUUUCUUUAACAAUUUAAACCUUGCGACAAAAUAGGUUGUCUAGAUAUGCAACUACGUGCACAACCUAUAUGAUGCAAUGACAACUAGCACACAAGCAAGCAAUAGAUACAACACAAGUAAGCUUGCAAAAGUAAAGGCAUGAAAUAACCAAGAGUGGAGCCGGUGAAGACGAGGAUGUGUUACCGAAGUUCCUUCCUUUUAAGGGAAGUACGUCUCCGUUAGAGCGGUGUGGAGGCACAAUGCUCCCCAAGAAGCCACUAGGGCCACCGUAAUCUCCUCACGCCCUCACACAAUGCGAGAUGCCGUGAUUCCACUAUUGGUGCCCUUGAAGGUGGCGACCGAACCUUUACAAACAAGGAUGGGGCAAUCUCCACAACACUUGGAGGCUCCCAACAACACCAUGAAGCUUCACCACAAUGGAGUAUGGCUUCGAGGUGACCUCAACCGUCUAGGGUGCUCAAACGCCCAAGAGUAACAAGAUCCGCUAGGGAUUAGUGGGGGGAUCAAAAAUCUCUUGGUGGAAGUGUAGAUCGGGCCCUUGUCACCCAAUCCCGAGCAAAUCAACAAGUUUGAUUGGCUAGGGAGAGAAAUCGGGCCAAAAUGGAGCUUGGAGCAAUAAUGGAGCUUGGAGGUGGAAGAGGUGGUCAACUAGAGGUAGGAGACGCCCCUUUUAUAGUUAUGGAAAAGAUCCAACCGUUAUCCACAUGUUUAGCCUGCGAAAUGCGGUACUACCGCUCCAGGGGCACGGUACUACCGCAAGGCCAUGCGGUACUACCGUGGAGGACCACGGUACUUCCGCGGCAGCAGCAGAGGCCGGGACUUGCCUGACUGGGUGCAGUACUACCGCUUGCGCGGUACUACCGCUCCCCCUUGCGGUACUACCGCAAGGCAGGAAAGUCAAUGCCUACAAAGAGCGCGGAUGAAAUAAAUUAUAUCCAUGCCUACUUCCGCUGAAAACGAAACAGUGCAAAAAUCCGACGCGGUACUACCACGCAUGAGGCGCGGUACUACCGUGGAGGCGCGGAUGUAAAAAAUUACAUCCGCUCCUACUACCGUGACGCAGCGGUACUAGGUAUAAGGGCCACGGUAUUACGACUCCGGGGGAGCGGUACUACCGUGGCCUCCCACGAUACUACCGCGCAGGAUGUGCGGUACUAUCGUGGGGGCGCGGAUGUAAAAAAUUACAUCUGCCCCUACUACCGUACCGGAGCGGCACUAGGCCUGGGAGCCACGGUACUAAGGCUCUAGAGGAGCGGUACUACCGUGACCCCUAGCGGUACUACCGCAGGUGCUUGCGGUAGUACCGCUCCAUAGAGCAGUACUACCGCAAGUACAACAGUAGCCGUCAGAUGAAGCACAACUAGGAUAACAGAGAGAUGCUCCAAAGUGCAAGGGAAAGGAAGGACAUGUGUACGUGUUGAUUCCACCCGAACCUUUCUGACACGAACCCCCUCUUAAUAGUACAGCUCUCCUACGACUCAAAUCCACCAAAGAGAAACGUAGAACAACGCCGUCUUCAACAGUCUUCGAGGGGCACCGAAUCGUCUCGUGCCUAGAGAUGAAGCGUCUAAGAAACUAAAGGCACACGAUUAGUCCGCAAAAGCAUUGUCAUCAAUCACCAAAACACUUAAGGGAUAAAUAUGCUCUUACAAUCUCCCCCUUUUUGGUGGAUUGAUGACAAUACGGGAUUUGCACAUAGAUGAGAUAAUAUAGGGCACAGGAAAACCCCUCCUCUCUAGAAUAUAGACGGGCUCCCCCUAGAUGUGUGCAAUCUAGAUAGAUGCUUUGGACUGCAUCGCACACAACCUAGGAUCAACACUCCCCCUAUAUUAUAGAGACAAAGGCAUGAUAACUAACAUCUAAGCAGAGCAUAUCACAAAGGUAGCACAAUAUAUCACAAGCUUGCUAAGAUAGAUAGAGUGCAUAUGUCUUACACCAUAUGAAGUAAAGCAACCCAAAGCAACUGAAACGAGGUUCAAAGAGAAAGCAGCAAACACGAACGAUGACACAAGACGUGCAAAUCCCUACACUCUCUCCCCCUUUGGCAUCGAGACGCCAAAAAGGCAGAGAGGACACCUACACACACGGGGUGGCUCAAGCAGGGAACUCAUCCCAACCCUCUCCGUCGGACUCCUCGGCAGCAGGGAUGGUCGCCUCGACGUCCUCCUCAGAAUUAGUCCACCUAUAGCCUUGCUUCUCCAUCCACUCGGCCUCUGGAGUGAUGCGAUCCUCAGAACCGCCAGACACAUCCUCACCAUAGAGCUGCAAGAUCUUCUUGUCCCGGCGAUGACUCUCCUUGGAUGCCAUGUGAGUUCUGUACUGGCCCUUGGCUUGCAUGCAGAAAAGAGUCUUCAUCUUGUCCUUCAGCUUCUUGGCCCACGAGGGCAUAGAGGAACUAUGGGAAGUCCUGGCAGCACGGUCCUUAGCAACAUCCUCUACGCCAACAUCCUCCUCAUCAACAGCAGCCCUAGCAGCAGACGCCUCAGCGCGAGUAGUAGUGUUAGCCCAGUUGGACUUGACACAGAGACAGAUGGGAUCAUGGCGAAUCCAGUCUGGCUCAAGGAACUCCUCACCAGGGAACAUCUUCUCCCAAGUCUUCGAUAUCAGCAGAAAAAGAUAAGGACCAUAGAUAGGCACUUUGCGGUUGAACACCGCAAACCGAAGCUCACACCACAUGAUGUGUGAGACAUCAAGUGGCUGAGUCUGAGACAACCGAGCCUUGUCCUUGUCACCAAUGCGAGGGAACAAGGAGUUGCGAAAGAUGCGAUACAUGAUAUCCAGAAAAGAGUUGAGCACAAACCCCGUCUUGCCAUUGGCAAGUGCCUUCUCAACAUAGUAUGGUUGAAGCUUGUCCUUGUUAGCAGACUCAGGAUUAGCAUGGGGGCGAACACCCACGGGAGUGUUGAGCCCGUCAUCAGGAACGUGGAGCAGGUCCAUGAACUCCUUCCAAGUAGCAGUCAUCAUACGGCCAUUGGUCAUCCAGGUCAUCCUCCGCUCCUCAUCAUGGUGAAAGUAUACUGAGGCAAAGAACUGACAGAUGAGCUCAAGGUCAUAGUCAAGGUGAAAAGAGAUCACAUGCUCAAUACCAAACUGCUCCACCAGGUCCAGAGCUUCUCCAAAGUACGCACGAUACUGGUCCUUCCUCAUGUGAUGCAUUUCUAUCCAUUUGACAUCCACAUAGGUAUUAUGCUUAUUCUUGAUGACAUCCAGAUAAAUGAGAGUCUGUUGCUUGUUCCAAAACAGCUCACAACCUUUGACAGUAGCACGAGGGUUCACAUACGGGUUGAGCUUCCUGAGACGGACAAACUCAGAUUGGGGUAUCUCGUCCAUGCCCUUAGCGGGUUCCUUGUGCUUGCUAGCUGAUGACUUGACAUGGCGCUUGGGAGCAGAGGAGCCCUCUGGUGCUUCACCUGGAUUGCGUAGACGCUUGGAGCCCGUGUCACGACUAGGGUUGGAACGGCGAGAGCCACCACCUGAGACACACACGCAAAACACGCACGAAAUGCAAAAAGGAUCAAUGCAAAGACCACGGUAAAGCACAAGAAACACAUAGAAAGUAUACAUGAAAGUUGCCAUGAGAUAGAUGUGAGCCACGGUAGUACUGCCUGAGCCUGCGGUACUAAAAUUUUAGUACCGCUCCAGGGUGCGGUAGUACCAUGCGAGGCACGGUAGUACCAUGGUUGGAGCGGUAGUAAAGUUUUAGUGCUGCAGUGAGUGCGGUAGUACCGCGCCAGAGGGCGGUAGUACCAAACAAGCGGUAGUACCGCGCCAGAUGGGCGGUAGUACCGCACCGCGUCAGAUCCAAGCGAUGGUUUGAAUCUGAAAAGAACCGCGAAACCCCGGUAGUGCUACGGUGAUCAAGUCUAGCACAGUACAAAGUACAAGUAUAAUUCCUACGCAAUACUAUGCUCCUUCAUCCUACUCUUGCAAAGAUUAAGCCUAAGAAUCUCAAGAACACACAAGUCUCCCCCAAAACCUAGAGACAACAAACACAACAAAAACGAGAAGGAGUUGGGGAAAGACCUUGGUCCAUAGCAAGAGCACGUGGUGGGGAGCGAUCCCACCGGUCGGAAUCACGGGAGGGCAGCCGGAGGCGGAGAUCCGAUGACGGAUGCCGGCUCCGUUCUUGAGCGAGGGAGAGAGAGAGACAAGAUGGGGAACGGGCGAAUGGGUAUGGGGGAGUUAGAACUCCCCCUGGCCGUCCUUAUCCCCACUCGUCCGAGCCGUCACGGUAGUACCGCAUAUCAUUGCGGUAGUACCACUUGGGCGGAAGUACUGCACCGAAGCGGUAGUACCGCUCUCCCAGGUGGCAGUAAAAAAUUACUGCCGUAUGGGGGCGGUAGUACCGUGCUCCCCUCAUGCGGUAGUACCGUAGUAGGCUGCGGUAGUACCGUGAGCUCAAGAAAAAGCUGGUUUCGACACACGAAAAGAGGUCUUUGCAAAGAAACUUCUAGCACAAAAAGACACCACAAGAACAUGAACAACCCAAAGGCAGAAAGACAACAAGAAGCAACCGCGCAACCCAACCUCUCAAAAGGAGAGGGGGUGCCGGAGCCACCUAUGUUUGAGUUAGUUGGUAUGGCACCGCGAAGAAUUAUCCUUGGGCCCAUGACCAAAACUCAUCUUUGAAGCACAAGUACCAUAAAAAAUGGCUAAUGUGAAAGAGUUGAUCGAUUUAUGCAUAAUGGGGGGAGGGAGAGUUCAUUGACAGAACAACACUCCCCCUAUGUCCAUGCCUACAUCUAAACUAGACAACAAGUUGAGUGUGGUGGGGGUGCAAGGGUUCAAGUCACGUUGCUCGAAUCAAUGAUAUUUAGCUCAUGCCUUAACUCGCGAAAUCUUGCUUCAUCCAAGGGCUUCGUGAAAAUAUCUGCAAGGUUAUCAUGAGUGUUGACAUACUUGAGCUCGAUCUCCCCUCGCCUAAUGUGAUCCCGGAUGAAGUGAUACCGAAUCUCAAUAUGCUUCGUCUUGAAGUGUUUCACCGGGUUGAGAGAAAUCUUGAUGGCACUUUCAUUAUCACACCAAAGAGGCACUUUGUCACAAAUGACACCGUACUCCUUUAAAGUUUGCCUCAUCCAUAAGAGUUGUGCACAACAACUACCGGCCGCCACAUAUUCCGCUUCGGUGGACGAGAGAGACACACAACUUUGCUUCUUGGAAGACCAACUUACCAAAGAGCAACCAAGAAAUUGGCACCCUCCGAAAGUGGACUUCCUAUCCACCUUAUCUCCCGCCCAAUCAGAAUCUGUGAAUCCUUCAAGCUUGAAGUUAGCUCCUCUUGGGUACCAUAGGCCAAAGUUUGGGGUAUGAGCCAAAUAUCGAAAGAUUCGCUUGACCGCCACAAAGUGGCUUUCCUUUGGUGCGGCUUGGAACCAUGCACACAUUCCCACACUCAACAUGAUAUCCGGUCUAGAUGCACAAAGGUAAAGCAAGGAACCAAUCAUAGAGUGAUAUACCUUUUGAUCCACCGCUUUACCAUUGGGAUCAAUGUCAAGUUGGCACUUGGUGGGCAUCGGAGUAGAGGCCGGCUUGACAUCACUUAGCUUGAAUCUCUUAAGCAUGUCUUGAGUGUAUUUGGCUUGGUUGAUGAAGGUACCUUCUCUUCUUUGUUUGAUAUCAAAACCAAGGAAGAACUUCAACUCUCCCAUCGAAGACAUCUUGAACUUAGAGGUCAUGAGAGUGGCAAAUUCUUCAUUGAAAGCAUUGUUAGGGGAACCAAAGAUAAUGUCAUCAACAUAUAGUUGGCACACAAACAACUCCCCUUUGACCUUCUUAGUAAAAAGAGUGGGAUCAAUUUGCCCUACUUCAAAUCCACGAUCUUGUAACAACUCGGUAAGGUGGUCAUACCACGCAUGUGGGGCUUGUUUAAGGCCAUAGAGUGCCUUAUCAAGUUGAUACACAUGAUCCGGGAAGUAAUGAUCCUCGAACCCGGGGGGUUGCUUGACAUAAACCAACUCAUUAAUAGGACCAUUAAGAAAAGCACUUUUCACAUCCAUUUGUUGUAGCUUAAAGUUGUGAUGGGAAGCAUAAGCAAUCAACAAACGAAUGGAUUCAAGGCGAGCAACGGGAGCAAAGGUUUCACCAUAGUCGAUACCCUCAACUUGGGAGUAGCCUUGUGCUACCAAUCUUGCCUUGUUGCGAAUGAUGUUCCCAUGAGCAUCUUGCUUGUUCUUGAAGAUCCACUUGGUUCCAAUGACGUUAUGGUUCCCCGAAGGCCUUGGCACCAACCUCCACGCCUUGGUGUACUUGAAGUUGUUGAGUUCUUCAUGCAUGGCAUUGAGCCAAUCCGAGUCUUCGAGCGCCUCAUAGACCUUUUGGGGUUCAACACAAGAGACAAACGCGUGAUGCUCACAAUAGUUUGCUAAUUUUCUACGAGUGCUUACCCCCUUUCUUAGGCUUCCAACCACAUUCUCCAUGAGAUGGCCUUUGGUGGUGAGUUUGGAAGCAAUCUUCGCGGCACGACGCUCUAAUUCCUCCUCGGAUGUGGAAGGAGGAGGGUUAACUUGAUCAUCUUGAGCGCCGUCUUGAGCUUGUUCUUGAUCUUGAGCUUGCUCAUGAUCUUGAACUUGCUCGAGGGGGAGAACUUGACCUUGGGCAUCAUUUGGAGGUUCACCAUCAUCUUGAGAUUGAUCUUGCCCUUGGUCUUGUUCCCGAGGUUGAGGGCCUACACUUUGUUCUUCGAAGCGUGUGGGUCUUGAGUAGGUGAAGGCUCCACUUGAGUGGAGCAUUUCCCUUCUCCUUCGGCCACAAGGGGUUCCUCAAUGGGUAGAAUAUGACCAAUACCCAUUCUUCUUAUGGCUUGGGGAGGAAUUUCAUCACCUACAUCACAAGUACCACUUUGCUCCACUUGGGAGCCGUUAUUUUCGUCAAACUCCACGUUACACGUCUCCUCAAUGAGUCUGGUGGACUUGUUGAGAACACGGUAAGCAUGAGAGUUUGUAGCAUAACCAACAAAUAUGCCCUCAUAAGCUCUAGCCUCAAAUUUAGACAAACGAACACCUUUCUUGAGAAUGAAACACUUACACCCGAACGCUCGGAAGUACUUGAGAUUGGGCUUGUUUCCGGUGAGUAUCUCAUAAGGAGUCUUGUUCAAGCCUUUGCGGAGAUAGAGCCGAUUGGAUGCAUGACAUGCGGUGUUGAUGGCUUCGGCCCAAAAGUUGUAUGGAGACUUGAACUCCGCCAUCAUGGUCCUUGUCGCAUUCGUCAACGUUCGGUUUUUCCUCUCCGCAACACCAUUUUGUUGAGGGGUAUAUGGUGCAGAAUAUUGAUGCUUGAUCCCCUCAUCACUAAGAAACUCAUCCAAGGUGUAGUUCUUGAACUCGGUGCCGUUGUCACUUCUUAUUGUCAAGAUCUUUGCAUUAUGUUGACGUUGAGCUUCAUUUAAAAAGUCGAUGACGGUUUGUUGAGUCUCACUCUUCCUCUUGAAGAAGUAUACCCAAGUGUAUCUUGAAUAAUCAUCCACAAUCACCAAGCAAUACUUUCUACCCCCAAGACUAUCAAAGGAUGGAGGACCAAAGAGGUCCAUGUGCAGGAGCUCCAAGGGUCUCUUCGAGUAGAUGAUAGUCGUGGGAGGGUGAGCCGUCUCAUGAAGCUUUCCUUCGAUACAAGCACUGCAAGCACGAUCUUUGGCAAAACUAACAUUUGUUAGUCCACGGACAUGUUCCCCCUUGAGAAGACUUUGCAAAGAUCUCAUAUUGACAUGGGCUAAACGGCGAUGCCAAAGCCAUCCCACAUCAACUUUAGCCAUUAGGCAUGUCGCGGUCUUAGUGGGUUGCUCCUAAAAGUUAAUCACAUAGAGACUGUUCUCGACAUGCCCAACAAAGGCUACUUUAAGAGUCUUGCUCCACAAGAGGGCCACGGUAUCAAUAUCAAAGAAGGUGGCAAAGCCCAUGAGUGCGAGUUGACGAACGGAAAGUAAAUUGAACGCAAGGGACUCAACAAGCAUGACUUUCUCGAUUGUUAGAUCAUGAGAAAUGACAACCUUGCCAAGACCCAAUACCUUAGAAUGCGAGGCAUCACCCCACUCGACAUUGGUGGGCAUAGAUGGGAUCUUUUGGACGUCCACCACCAAGUCCUUGCUCCCGGUCAUAUGAUUUGUUGCUCCACUAUCAAGCAACCAUGAUCCCCCACCGGAAGCAAACACAUACAAGAGAUCAAUGCUUGGUUUUAGGUACCCAUUUAGUAAUGGGUCCUUUGAUGUUAGUAACAUGGGUCUUAGGAACCCAAAUAGACCAUUCAAUGUACUCAUAAGAAGAACCAACAAAUUUAGCAUAAACAUGCCCAUCACUAGCACGGCACAACACAUAAGAGGGGUUAAAGUCGCCGGCUUUGUUGGGAGAGAUGGCUUUGCGCUCUUUGGCAUCACCACUCUUCGCAUUCUUCUUCUUCUCCUUAGGAGCACCCUCUCCCUCCUUCACAAAAGUUUGCUUGAGCGGGGGAGGUCAUUUGGUCUUGUUAUUCUUCUCCUUGUUCUUCUUCUUGUUCUUGGACUUGGGUGAAAACCCAACUCCCUCCUUGCCCACAACUUCCUUUUGAUUGCUCAAAAGGUCAUUUAGGUUCUUCUCACCUUGUAUGCAUGACACAAGUCCUUUCUCGAGUUGUUCCUUCAACUUGACAUUCUUCUCCACAAGAUGCACAUGCUCACAACACGGGUUAGUAGCAUUUGCAUUAUCAAUUAAGACCAUGUGAGGAAAUGUGGCCUUUUCCUUGGUUAGCUUAACUUGGAGUUGAGCAUGAGACUCCUUGAGGUUUGCAUGAGCACUUUUCAAGACCUUAUGGGCCUUGUCAAGUACAUCAAACUCCUCCUUGAGUCUAGCAUGAUCAACCCCAAGCUUAGCCUUCUCGGAAGUUAGAACACGAGACACAACAAGAGCAUGAUCAAGAUCUUUCUUUAAUUUGGCAUGGUCAUCAUUGUGUGACUCCUCAAGAGCCAAACGAUGCCCACGCUCUUCCUCAAGAGCAUUAGAGAGAUCCGAUAUCUCAUCGGCAUAGUCAUGACUAUGACCUUCCAUCUUAGAGAUGGUUUCUUCGUGAGCCUCAAUCAUGUCAUUGGCUUCACCAAGUUGUUCCAAGAGAGCAACGAAGUGCUUCUUGGAUUUGCCAUUGAGCUUACUCAUGAAGGACUCAAAUUCAUUUACCUCCUCAUUAUACCCCUUACCAUCAUCAAAGCCAACCGUUGAAGAAGGAUUAGGAAUAAUGGUGGUUUUGAUGUUGGGGGUUACCUUGUUGGUGGACUUAGCCAUGAGGCACUUGGCGGUGAUGUUCUCGUUGGGUGAAUCGAAAAGAGACACCCGGGGAGUUGUGGCAAUGGCAACGGAUGCCAUGGCCAUUGCUUCACUAUCUUCAUGAUCAUCAUCAUCCUCACGGUAUUCUUCUUGAACCACCAACCCGCGAGUAGGAGUCUUCUUGGUGAAGUUGUUCUUGUUGGGGAAGGACUUGGCCUUGUCUUUUCGGAUGAACUUGCCACGAUUGUCUUCCCACUUCUCGUAAGGACAAUCCGCAACGAAAUGGCUCACAUUGCCACAGUUGAAACAAGUUCUAACUCGUUGCUUUCCAUUGAUGCCACUUGAGUUGUUCUUGUUGAAGUUGGGUCUUGUAUUCUUCUUGCUCCAGAAUUGUCUUAAGGCAAGAGCCAUGUGCUCAUGAUAAUCAUAUUUUGUGUCUUCGGGGUUGCUCUCCUCAUCUUAUUCUUCUUCCUCUUCUUCCACAUUGACCUUGGCCUUCAAGGCAAGGUUGGGCUUCUUUGCCCUUUGAUAACGGAGCACCGCAUUAUCAGCGGUCUUGUCCAAGAUGCUCAUUGCAACGAACUCAUCCAACACUUCACUUGAGGUCAUGGAGUGGAAGUCCGGUCUUUGAUGAAUGACGGAGGACAUGGCCUUUUUGUAGGGCAUCAUGGCCUUGAGGAACUUGCGCUUGAUCCAAUUGUCAUCCGUGUCCUUGCUCCCAUGAUCUCGGAGUGCGACCACGAGUUUGGUCACUCUUCGAAAGAGCUCACGAGGUUCUUCAUCUUCUUUCAUUGCAAACUCAUCAGCUUCAUCUUGCACCACUUCAUAUUUGGAGCGUUGAAUGCUAGAACUUCCUCGAUAGAGAGACAAAACACAUUUCCAUGCGUCUUUAGCCAUGGCAUGAGGUCGAAGAUGAGGGAGAUCUUCGGGAAGGAUUGCAUCUUGGAUGAUGAAGAGAUCACUCUCAUUGAAUUGAUUAUCCACGGCUUCUCGAGGGGUGAAGUUGCUUGGGUCAUGUGGAUAGAAACAUUCUUCUAUAAUUCUCCAAAGAUUAGUGUUUUAAAUGACGCUUGAAACGAUACACCCAAGCAUCAAAAUCCUCAUUUUUCACAAUCUUAGGAGGAGGACCGGCAUGAUUUAAAUGAGUAGUGGGAAUCGGUCCACCAUAAGUAGGAGGUUCCACAUGGGCAAAGAUGUCGGAGCCAUUUCUACCACUAGUAGAAGGACCUUUUUCACUAUUAGCUUCCCCCUUGUCAGAGGUGGCAUCCGUCACCUUGUUAGUGGGAUCACCCACUUUCAUCGGCGAGGUGGAUAGUUUAAGUCCUUCUAGGAAUUCAGAAAACAUGCUUUUAACCUCGGCCGUCAUGGAGGUUUUCAAUGUGUCUAAAGCCACAUUGAAUUCCUCACGUGAGACCGAGGUUCCCCCAUCGGCCGUAGACGAGAUAGGAUUCACAUCGGAGUGCUCCUCCACACCGUCGUUGGUGUCAACCAUACUCUUCGGACGGCAAAGUCCUUAAUAAAGAGACGAGGUUCUGAUACCAAUUCAAAGGAUCGAUAUGGUUGACUAGAGCGGGGGUGAAUAGGCAACUAACAAUUUUUAAGCUUUUCUUUAACAAUUUAAACCUUGCGAAAAAAUAGGUUGUCUAGAUAUGCAACUACAUGGACAACCUAUAUGAUGCAAUGACAACUAGCACACAAGCAAGCAAUAUAUACAACACAAGUAAGCUUGCAAAAGUAAAGGCACGAAAUAACCAAGAGUGGAGCCGGUGAAGACGAGGAUGUGUUACCGAAGUUCCUUCCUUUUAAGGGGAAGUACGUCUCUGUUAGAGCGGUGUGGAGGCACAAUGCUCCCCAAGAAGCCACUAGGGCCACCGUAAUCUCCUCACGCCCUCACACAAUGCGAGAUGCCGUGAUUCCACUAUUGGUGCCCUUGAAGGCGGCGACCGAACCUUUACAAAGGAGGAUGGGGCAAUCUCCACAACACUUGGAGGCUCCCAACAACACCACGAAGCUUCACCACAAUGGAGUAUGGCUUCGAGGUGACCUCAACCGUCUAGGGUGCUCAAACACUCAAGAGUAACAAGAUCCGCUAGGGAUUAGUGGGGGAGUCGAAAAUCUCUUGGUGGAAGUGUAGAUCGGGCCCUUGUUACCCAAUCCCGAGCAAAUCAACAAGUUUGAUUGGCUAGGGAGAGAGAUCGGGCCAAAAUGGAGCUUGGAGCAACAAUGGAGCUUGGAGGUGGAAGAGGUGGUCAGCUAGAGGUAGGAGACGCCCGUUUUAUAGUUAUGGAAAAGAUCCAACCGUUAUCCACAUGUUCAGCCUGCGAAAUGCGGUACUACCGCUCCAGGGGCGCGGUACUACUGCAAGGCCAUGCGGUACUACCGUGGAGGACCACGGUACUUCCGCGACAGCAGCAGAGGCCGGGACUUGCCUGACUGGGUGCAGUACUACCGCUUGCGCGGUACUAUCACUCCCCCUUGCGGUACUAUCGCAAGGCAGGAAAGUCAGUGCCUAUGAAGAGGGCGGAUGAAAUAAAUUACAUCCGUGCCUACUUCCGCUGAAAAUGAAACAGUGCAAAAAAUCCAACGCGGUACUACCGCGCACGAGGCGCGGUACUACCGUGGAGGCGCGGAUGUAAAAAAAUUACAUCCGCUCCUACUACCGUGACGCAGCGGUACUAGGUAUGAGGGCCACGGUACUACGACUCCGGGGGAGCGGUACUACCAUGGCCUCCCGCGGUACUACCGUGGGGGCGCGAAUGUAAAAAAUUACAUCUGCCCCUACUACCGUAGUGGAGCGGCACUAGGCCUGGGAGCGACGGUACUAAGGCUCCAAAGGAGCGGUACUACCGUGACCCCCAGCGGUACUACCGCAGGUGCUUGCGGUACUACCGCUCCAUAGAGCAGUACUACCGCAAGUACAGCAGUAGCCGUCAGAUGAAGCACAACUAGGAUAACGGAGAGAUGCUCCAAAGUGCAAGGGAAAGGAAGGACAUGUGUACGUGUUGAUUCCACACGAACCUUUCCGACGCGGACCCCCUCUUAAUAGUACGGCUCUCCUACGACUCAAAUCCAUCAAAGAGAAACAUAGAACAACGCCGUCUUCAAUAGUCUUCGAGGGGCACCGAAUCGUCUCGUGCCUAGAGAUGAAGCGUCUAAGAAACUAAAGGCACACGAUUAGUCCGCAAAAGCACUGUCAUCAAUCACCAAAACACUUAAGGGAUAAAUAUGCUCUUACAUCUAGGUCGGGCCAUUGCCGAUGCAAAGAGAAACCGCGCAAGUGAUUUGGAGAGGAAGAAGUUGCAGCGCAUGUUAGAGGAUCACAAGAAAUUGUUGUACCCAAAUUGCGAAGCUGACAAAAAAAGUUUGUUACCACACUGGAAUUGCUGCAAUGGAAGGCAGAGAAUGGUGUAUCUGACAAGGGAUUUGGAAAGUUGCUGGUAAUGAUAAAGAAUAUGCUUCCAAUGGACAACGAAUUGCCUGAGAGUACGUAUGAAGAAAAGAAGGUUGUCUGCCCUCUAGGGUUAGAGGUGCAGAAGAUACAUGCAUGCCCUAAUGACUGCAUCCUCUACCGCGGUGCGUACGAGGAUUUGAACACUUGCCCGGUAUGUGGUGCAUUGCGUUAUAAGAUCAGUCACGAUGACCCUGGUGAUGUCGAGGGCGAGCGCCCCAGGAAGAAGAUUCCUGCCAAGGUGAUGUGGUAUGCUCCUAUAAUACCACGGUUAAAACGCUUGUUCCAAAACAAAGAGCAUGCGAAGGCGAUGCGGUGGCACAGAGAAGACCGUAAGAAAGACGAAAAGUUGAGAGUACCCGCUGACGGUUCGCAGUGGAGAAAAAUCGAGAGAAAGUACAGGGAGGAGUUUGCAGGUGACCCAAGGAACGUAUGGUUUGGUCUAAGCGCAGAUGGCAUUAAUCCUUUUGGGGAGCAGAGCAGCAACCAUAGCACGUGGCCUGUGACUAUAUGUUUGUAUAACCUUCCUCCUUGGUUGUGCAUGAAGCGGAAGUUCAUUAUGAUGCCAGUGCUCAUCCAGGGUCCUAAGCAACCCGGCAACGACAUUGAUGUGUACCUAAGGCCAUUAGUUGAAGAACUAUUACAGCUGUGGAAUGGAACAGGUGUACGUGCGUGGGAUGAGCACGGACAGGAAGAAUUUGACCUAAAGGUGUUAUUGUUCGUGACCACCAAUGAUUGGCCUGCUCUCAGUAACCUUUUAGGACAGACAAACAAGGGAUACCGCGGAUGCACGCACUGUUUGGAUGAUACUGACAGUAUAUAUUGGAGUGUUGUAGGAAGAAUGUGUACCUGGGACAUCGUCGAUUUCUUCCGAGCAGGCAUCCCGUAAGAAAGAAAGGCAAGCAUUUCAAAGGUGAGGCGGAUCAUCGGACGAAGCCUCGCCACCGUCCUGGUGCUGAUGUACAUGAUAUGGUCAAGGAUUUGAAGGUAAUCUUUGGAAAGGGUCCUGGCGGACAACCUGUUCCCAAGGACGCUGACGGACGCACGCCCAUGUGGAAGAAGAAAUCUAUAUUUUGGGAUCUGCCCUAUUGGAAAGACCUAGAGGUCCGCUCCGCAAUCGAUGUGAUGCACGUGACGAAGAAUCUUUGCGUGACCCUCCUUGGCUUCUUGGGCGUGUAUGGGAAGACAAAAGAUACACCAGAGGCACGUGAGGACCAGCAACGUAUGCACGGAAAAGACGACACACAUUAGGGUCAGGCCAGCUAUGCUCUUACCAAAGAAGAGAAGGAAAGCUUCUUUGAAUGCCUGCUCAGCAUGAAGGUACCGUCUGGCUUCUCGUCGAAUAUAAAGGGAAUAAUAAAUAUGGCAGAGAAAAAGUUCCAGAACCUAAAGUCUCAUGACUGCCACGUGAUUAUGACGCAACUGCUUCCGGUUGCAUUGAGGGGGCUUCUACUGAAAAAUGUUCGAUUAGCCAUUGUAUAGCUAUGUGCAUUCCUCAAUGCCAUCUCUCAGAAGGUAAUCGAUCUAGAAAUCAUACCAAGGUUACAGAAUGAUUUGGUGCAAUGUCUUGUCAGUUUUGAGUUGGUGUUCCCACCAUCCUUGUUCAACAUCAUGACGCACGUCCUAGUUCACCUUUGCAAAGAGAUUAACGUUUUGGGUCCUGUAUUUCUACACAAUAUGUUCCCCUUUGAGAGGUUCAUGGGAGUUUUGAAGAAAUAUGUUCAUAACCGUGCUAGGCCAGAAGGAAGCAUUGCAAAGGGCCAUGAAAAUGAGGAGGUCAUUGAGUUUUGUAUUGACUUUAUUCCUGACCUUAAGCCGAUUGGUGUUCCUGAAUCGCGGCAUAAGGGCGGUGAGGGAGUCCUGGACUAGGGGGUGUCCGGAUAGCUGAACUAUCAUCAUCGGUCGGACUCCAAGACUAUGAAGAUACAAGAUUGAAGACUUUGUCCCGUGUCCGGAUGAGACUUUCCUUGGCGUGGAAGGCAAGCUUGGCGAUACGGAUAUGUAGAUCUCCUACCAUUGUAACCGACUCUGUGUAACCCUAGCCCUCUCCGGUGUCUAUAUAAACCGGAUGGCUUUAGUCCAUAGGACGAACAACAAUCAUACCAUAGGCUAGCUUCUAGGGUUUAGCCUCCUUGAUCUCAUGGUAGAUCUACUCUUGUAAUACCCACAUCAUCAAUAUCAAUCAAGCAGGACGUAGGGUUUUACCUCCAUCAAGAGGGCCCAAACCUGGGUAAAACAUCGUGUCCCUUGUCUCCUGUUACCAUCCGCCUAGACGCAUAGUUCGGGACCCCCUACCCGAGAUCCGCCGGUUUUGACACCGACAUUGGUGCUUUCAUUGAGAGUUCCUCUGUGUCGUCACCGAUAGGCUCGAUGGCUUCUUCGAUCGUCAACAACGACGCAGUCCAGGGUGAGACUUUUCUCCCCGGACAGAUCUUCGUAUUCGGCGGCUUUGCACUGCGGGCCAAUUCGCUUGGCCAUCUGGAGCAGAUCGAAAGCUACGCCCCUGGCCGUCAGGUCAGAUUUGGAAGUUUGAACUUCACGGCUGACAUCCGCGGAGACUUGAUCUUCGAUGGAUUCGAGCCACAGCUGAGCGCGCCGCACUGUCAUGAUGGGCAUGAUUUAGCUCUGCAGCCGGACAGUGCCCUGGAGGCCGCACACGAGCCCGCUGCGACCCUCGAUUCGGAGCCGGCUGCGCAGAUCGAGGACGGGUGGCUAGACACCGCCUCGGGGGCUGCAACCUCUACGGUGAUGGAGCCGAAUACUGGCAUUGUCCCUUGUGAAGCUCAUGACUCCGAGGUGCCGGACUCCUCGCCGGACUCCGAACCUCCCGCGACCCCUCCAAUCGAAUCCGAUUGGGCGCCGAUCAUGGAGUUCACCGCUGCGGACAUCUUUCAACACACACCUUUCGGCGACAUCUUGAGUUCGCUAAAGUAUCUCUUGUUAUCAGGAGAGCCCUGGCCGAACUGCGGUCAGGACGGUUGGGAUGCGGACGGCGAAGAAAUUCAAAGCCCACCCACCACCCACUUAGUAGCCACUGUCGACGAUCUAACGGACAUGCUAGACUUCGACUCCGAAGACAUCGACGGUAUGGACGACGAUGCCGGAGAUGACCAAGAACCAGCGCCUACUGGGCACUGGAAAGCCACCUCAUCAUAUGACAUAUACAUGGUAGAUAUCCCAAAGGAUGGGAAUGGCGAAGGAACAGCGGAGGAUGACCCCUCCAAGAAACAGCCCAAGCGCCGGCGUCAGCGGCGCCGCUCUAAAUCCCGCCACAGCAAGAAUGGAGAUUUCGGCACCGGAGAUAAUAAUACCCCAGACAGUGCCGAAGACAACCCCCUCCAGCAAGAUUCAGCACAGGAGGACGAAGAAGCCAGCCCUCAUGAGAGGACGGCAGACGAAGAGGUAGAGGAUGAUAAUUACAUGCCUCCCUCCGGAGACGAGGCAAGCCUCGACGACGACGAAUUUGUCGUGCCUGAGGAUCCCGUCGAACAAGAGCGUUUUAAACGCAUGCUUAUGGCCACGACAAAUAGCCUGAAGAAAAAGUAGCAACAGCUUAGUGCUGAUCAAGAUCUGCUAGCCGACAGAUGGACUGAAGUCCUUGCGGACGAAGAGCAUGAGCUCGAACGCCCCUCCAAAAGCUACCCCAAACGCAAGCUGCUCCCCCGAUUAGAGGAGGAGGCAUAUAAACCUGCAUCACCAGCACACAAUACGGCUGACCGACCACCCCGUGGCCGCGACAGAGAGGCCUCUAGGCCCUCCACUAGAACCGUACCCCGGCAUCGCUCGAAAAGCACAAGACCGCAGGGGAACGCUCUGGACUUGCGAGAUAUAUUGGAGGAUAAGGCAAGACAAUAAAGAUCGAUCUACGGAUCGCGUAGGCGCCCCAUGAUACGUGACGACAACCGUCGCGCUGAACGCAGCAAGUCCGGUCGGGCCGAACACAGUAGACAAAGCUCUUUUGAGCUUCGUCGUGAUAUAGCCCAAUACAGAGGCGUCGCACACCCACUACGCUUCACAAAUGAAGUAAUGGAUCAUCAAAUCCCCGAAGGGUUUAAACCCGUGAAUAUUGAAUCUUAUGAUGACACAACAGACCCCGCGGUUUGGAUUAAAGACUAUCUACUUCAUAUCAACAUGGCCCGCGGUGAUGAUCUUCACGCCAUAAAAUACCUCCCACUCAAGCUUAAAGGACCAGCUCGGCAUUGGCUUAACAGCUUGCCAGCAGAACCAAUUGGGUGUUGGGAGGACCUGGAAGCCGCAUUCCUUGAUAACUUCUAGGGCACGUAUGUGCGACCACCAGACGCUGAUGACCUAAGCCAUAUAAUUCAGCAGCCAGACGAAUCGGCCAGACAAUUCUGGACACGGUUCUUAACCAAGAAAAAUCAAAUCGUCGACUGUCCGGAUGCGGAGGCCCUCGCGGCCUUCAAACAUAACAUCCGCGACGAGUGGCUUACCCGCACCUGGGACAGGAAAAGCCGAAAUCAAUGGCAGCCCUCACAUCACUCCUGACCCACUUCUGCGCGGGAGAGGACAGCUGGCUAGCCCGCAGCAACAACCUCAGCAAAAAUUCUGGCAGUCCGGAUAUCAAGGACCGCAAUGGCAGGUCGCGUCGCAACAAGAACAAACGCCGCAUUAACGGCGACAAUAAUGAGGAUAUGACAGUCAAUGCCGGAUUCAAAGGCUCUAAACCCGGUCAGCGGAAAAAGCCAUUCAAAAGAACUACUCCGGGUCCGUCCAAUUUGGACCGAAUACUCGGGCGCUCGUGCCAGAUACACGGCACCCCCGAAAGGCCAGCUAACCACACCAACAGGGACUGUUGGGUAUUCAAGCAGGCAGGCAAGCUAAUUGCCGAAAACAACGACAAAGGGCUGCAUAGCGAUGACGAGGAAGAGACCCGACCACCGAACAAUAGAGGACAGAAGGGUUUCCCCCCACAAGUGUGGACGGUGAACAUGAUAUACACAACCCACAUACCCAAAAGGGAGCGGAAGCGUGCACUCAGGGAUGUAUACGUGAUGGAGCCAGUCGCCCGAAGUUCAACCCAUGGUCCUCCUGCCCGAUCACUUCUGAUCGAAGGGACCACCCCACCAGCAUCCGCCACGGCGGAUUCGCCGCAUUGGUUUUAGACCCAAUCGUCGAUGGAUUUCACCUCACCAAAGUCCUGAUGGACGGCGGCAGCAGCCUGAACCUGCUUUAUCAGGAUACAGUGCGCAAAAUGGGCAUAGACCCUUCAAGGAUUAAACCCACAAAGACGACCUUUAAAGGCGUCAUACGAGGUGUAGAGGCCAAUUGUACAGGCUUAGUUACACUGGAAGUGGUCUUCGGAUCCCCGGAUAACUUCCGAAGCGAGGAGUUAAUCUUCGACAUAGUUCUGUUCCGCAGCGGCUAUCAUGCUCUGCUCGGACGUACCGCGUUUGCAAAGUUCAACGCGGUGCCGCACUACGCAUACCUCAAGCUCAAGAUGCCAGGCCCUCGAGGAGUCAUCACGGUCAACGGAAACACUGAACGCUCUCUCCAAACGGAGGAACAUACAGCGGCUCUCGCGGCAGAAGUACAGUGCAGCCUCUUAAGGCAAUUCUCGAGUCCGGCCAUUAAGCGACCGGACACGGCUAAACGCGCCCAAAGUAACCUACAACAAGACCACCUGGCACGUUCCGAGAACGCGUAGCAAUGCGGACCCAACCCCAGCCCCUGCAAAAUUGCAAGACUGGUCCUUCGCAUACAUCAUUACGCUCUGGAGAUACCAUGGGCAUAGGGGGAGGGGCACGACCACGAUAGGCCCAGAAUGCGGCUUAACCACACCAGGGGCUCUCAAGUGUGUCGUUCUUUUUUUUCUUUUUCUCUUUUUUCUUUUUUUACCCACAGGACUCCGUUCAUCAGAGGCCCUGUCCGGCAGUAGACCUGCCGAACUCACGAUGCAACAGCCAGGGAAGGAGAAAGGCUACGACGAAUAUCCAGGUGGUAUCCAUUACGAGCAUUAAAUCUGUUUUAUACACCAUUCCGCGGCCUACCCCUGGAGGGGGACAUGUUUAAUAGUCCCAUCCCUUGCUUACCGCACUAUUUGUAUCGCUCUGCAUUCACGGCAGUAUUUCUUGAAUAAACAAUGCAGCACCUUUUUGCUUAUAAUUGCAUUUCUUUCUUAUACAUAUGUUCAUUUAUGACAUGUUGCAUCCGUACACUUUGGUACGGCUAAAUACACCAGGGGCUUAUGUUUCCCGCAUCAUGGUGUGAUAAGUCCGAACACUUUCACAAGUGCGGCACCCCGAACUUAUAGCAUUAUAUGCAUCGGCUCCGAAUCAUGUCUUGGGUCAAUAGUUGGGUUUGCCCGGCUCCCAUGUUUUGGUACCUUACGUUCCGUUUUAUCGGCUAAGGUAGCACUGGGAGAACCACUGCGAUUGCACCCCAGUUGAGCUGGGCGAGCGCCUCAAUGGAGAAAGCUAAAACUGACCGUCAUGAUGAGGCGAGAGCCGGUCGCUGUUCGAGAGGUUUUUCUCGAGUCCCUAAAGACUUAUGCCGCUUAGAGCGAGGAACCGGCUUUGUCCGGCCCAGGCGUGGAUAGCGCCCCAAAUUCGGCCUUCUGAACACUAGGAGCUUCGCUGAAAUUUAAAAUUAUAGAAUUCUAUGGCUAGGUGAGAGUGUUCAAGCAUUAUAAGUCCGGUUGCCUCGUUCAUUGUGUUGAGCGUCUCCCUAGAUGGACCCAAAAAUGGGAACAAGAAUGCUCAAAUUUAUCCCGAACACCCCAGCACUCAUGGCAUGGGGGCUGAAGCCGAUGACUUGCCAUCUCUCAGAUUUGAUAAACGGCCGCACAUAAGGUAAUAUUUUAAAUUAACAAGCAUUGCUUAGCGCAUAUGAACAAAGUUUUCAGCGCACAGGAUAAAAAAAUGCGAGUCUACUCAAAUAUUACAUCUUUGGAGCACUCACCCGCAAUAAUGCGGGCACCCUUCAGGACACUCUUAUAAUACAUCUCGGGCGUGCGAUACUCCUUGCCCGGUGGCGGCACGUCCGUCACAAGCUUCUCAGCAUCCAUCUUGCCCCAUUGCACCUUUGCGCGGGCAAGAGCCCGACGGGCACCUUCAAUACAGGCGGAGUGCUUGAUGACUUCAACCCAUGGACACGCAUCCACCAGCCGCCGCACCAGGCCGAAGUAGCUCCCAGGCAUGGCCUCCCUGGGCCACAGCCGAACUAUGAGGCCCUUCAUGGCCUGUUCGGUCACCUUGUGGAGCUCGACCAGCUGCUUCAGCUGGUCGCUAAGGGGCACCGGAUCUCCGGUCUCAGCAUACUGAGACCAGAAGACCUUCUCCGUCGAGCUCCCCUCCUCGGCCCUAUAGAAAGCGGCAGCAUCGUCACGCUGCAGGGCAGAUCUGCGAAUGCUCCUGGAGAGCUCCGAAUUCGGGUAAGUGAUAGGUAAUUCACACUCACAUGCUUGCUUUGCAUGAAAAAUGCCUUACCCGCCGCUAUUUUCUUCAACGCCUCGAUUUCCUAGAGGGCCUUGUAGGCUUCGGCCUUAGCGGCUUUGGCACUCUCAAGAGCCGAUGCAAGCUCGGACUUUCGAGUCUUCGAGUUGCGCUCCAAACUCUCAUGUUUUUCCACGAGAGCCUGGAGCUCUUGCUGUACCUCCGCCACCCGCGCCUCCUGCUUCUCUCGCUCGGUGCGCUCCGCGGCCGCAUUACGUUCGGCUGCGGACACCGCCUCCUUCAGGGUCGCCACCUCGUUCGUGGCCCCUGCAAUACCCACGUUAUCCUUGUCAUUCUUCUUGCAACCAAAUCCUUUUCUGUAAGGUACAAUUUUAAUAAGGUGUUACUCACCUUCCUUGUCCUCGAGCUACUUCUUGGCACGGCCGAGCUCGUUCUCAGACCGCUCGAGGUUUUCCUUCAAAGUAUUGACCUCCACAGUCAGUGCGGCAGAGGUCAGCAGCACAGCCUGCAAUCCCAUAUUGACAUAUUUUUUAUGACUCCUGUGUAUAUCUUUUUAGAUCCUCAGUCCGGCUUUUCUUUCCGAACACCGAACUGAGCAUCAGGGGCUACUGUCUAUGCGGUACUAUUUUACAUAUAUCAAAAUUCUUACCUUAAAGCCUGUUAGAAGGCUGCUGCAGGCUUCGGUCAGCCCGCUCUUGGCGAGCUGAACCUUCUGAAUCACCGCACUCAUGACGGUGCAGUGUUCCUCUUCGAUGGAAGCGCCGUUGAGCGCCUCCAGCAAGCUAUCCGGCGCCUCCGGUUGGACGGAGGCCGCCGGCGUCACGGUCUUGCCCUUCUUACGAAGGGGCCGCCCGCCGGACUCCGGAGCCACUACAGGUUCCGGUGCGGAGUCCGGUGCAAAGUCCGGGAGGUUGUCUUGCGGCACCUCCGGGGCCUCCUCCUCCUGGCGGGUCCCUUCCCAGGAUCCCACCUCAGCAUCGUCCGCAUCACGGGGGGUGGAGGCGGUCGGAAGGGAAUCCAUAUCCGACGCACCCAAGGACCCGCUCGACGAAGCGGGAAGAUCAUCCUUGGGCGGAUUGCAGGGUUGUAUGUCGCAUUAGAAAGACACCAUGUGGCGAAAAGAAAAAUCAUGAAGUUAUUCGGGAGUCCGGAUACUUACGAUCUCGCCAGGGGCUUGGCCCUUGAAGGCCAAUCCUCGUCGUCGUCGCCGGCGUUGGCAGAGCAGUCCGGGGGAAGAGUCCUUCCCUUCUUGGACCCUCCGGCCUCCCUCGUUGGGGAGGCCCUCCUUUUCUUCCCUCCUCCCGCUGGGGGAGAGGCCUCUUUCUUCUCCUCCCCGCCUUCAUGGGAGGAGUCCGCAUUGGAGUCAUCGGGCGAUGAGUCCGAUGACACCUAAAAACGGGAACUCUUUCGAGUACCCGUGGCCUUCUUCUUGGCCUUCUUCUCCCGCACCACAUGGGGUGCUGGAACCAACAGCCCCGUUAAGCGGGCGUCCGCUGGGUCUUCUGGCAAAGGGGCCGGGCAAUUAGUCCGCUCGGCCUUCUUCAACCAGUCCUGUCAAAGGAGAGGGAGUUUAGAUCCCGCAUAGAGUCAAACUAUGGAAAACAAGUGCCCCGUAAAGGGUAAAAUCGCUUACCUCGCUAGCCGGACGCUGCGAGCUAAAUCCGCGAUCUUCGGUAGCGGAUGCGGGAGCCUCGGCGCCCUUAAACAGCACCCUCCAGGCCUCUUCGUACGUAGUGUCGAAGAGCCUACUCAAAGUCUGGUGCUGCGCCGAAUCGAACUCGCACAUAUUGAAGUCCCGUUGUUGGCACGGGAGAAUCCGGCGGAUGAGCAUGACCUGGACUACGUUGACAAGCUUGAGCUUCUUGUUCACUAGCUUUUGGACACAGGCUUGGAGUCCGGUCAGCUCCUCUGAAUCACCCCAUGUCAGGCCACUCUCUUUCCAGGAGGUGAGCCGUAUGGGGAUGCCAGAUCUGAAUUCGGGGGCCGCUGCCCAUUUAGGGUCAUGCGGCUCGGUGAUGUAGAACCACCCCGAUUGCCACCCUUAAUGGUUUCCACGAAGGUGCCCUCCAGCCAAGUAACGUUGGGCAUCUUGCCCACCAUGGCGCCUCCGCACUCCGCUUGUUUGCCCUUCACAACCUUCGACUUGACACUUAAGGUCUUGAGCCACAAGCUGAAGUGGGGCUGGAUGCAGAGGAAGGCCUCACACACGAUGAUAAACGCCGAGAUGUUGAGUAUGAAAUUCAGGGCCAGAUCAUGGAAAUCCAGGCCGUAGUAGAACAUGAGCCCCCGCACAAAGGGAUGGAGUGGGAAGCCUAGUCCGCGGAGGAAAUGGGAAAGAAAUACUACCCUCUCAUGGGGCCCGGGGGUGGGGAUGAGCUGCCCCUCGUCGGGGAGCCAGUGCACGAUGUCGCUGGACAGAUAUCCGGCGCUGCGCAGCUUCUUGAUGUGCUCCUCCGUAACGGAGGAGGCCAUCCACUUGCCUCUCGCUCCGGACAUAGUUGGAGAAGGUUGAGGUGAGAUGUGCGGACUUAGGCGCUGGAGCUCGAGUUCGCGGAGAUGGAUAAGCUACAGAGGAAGAAGGCGUAGGUAAAAGGGUGGAUCUUUAUCCCCUUAUAUGGGCGGACGAAACCAUGCGUCCCCACCGGCCUGAUAAAACUCGCUUAUCUCCCAAGCGUCGUAAUCAAUGGCGUGGUUGGGUUACCCACGUCCGUAUUGAUGAGAAUCCCGGAAUAAGGGGAACACGAUCUCUGCUUCGACAAGACGUGCCAAGGAAACUGCUUCGCUAAACGCGCGGAGGUGGUAUAAUAAAAACGAUUCGAGUAAAGGCUUGGUUGUGGUGUGAUGUCACGCCACAAAAUACGUCAACAGAUUGAACUUGUGUAAAUAUUAUUCUCUCUACGGUGGUAUGUGGAAUUUGUUUUGCAGAGCCGGACACUAUCCUGGUGUUCACGAUCUUCUAUGAAUUAUUCGGAGAGGAACCCACCUUGCAAUGCCGAAGACAAUAUGCGCGCCGGACUCGUCUUCAUUGAAGCCUGGUUCAGGUGCUACUGAGGGAGUCCUGGACUAGGGGGUGUCCGGCUAGCCGAACUAUCAUCAUCAGCCGGACUCCAAGACUAUGAAGAUACAAGAUUGAAGACUUCGUCCCAUGUCCAGAUGGGACUUUCCUUGGCGUGGAAGGCAAGCUUGGCUAUACGGAUAUGUAGAUCUCCUACCAUUGUAACCGACUCUGUGUAACCCUAGCCCUCUCCGGUGUCUAUAUAAACCGGAUGGCUUUAGUCCAUAGCAUGAACAACAAUCAUACCAUAGGCUAGCUUCUAGGGUUUAGCCUCCUUGAUCUCGUGGUAGAUCUACUCUUGUAAUACCCGCAUCAUCAAUAUCAAUCAAGCAGGACGUAGGGUUUUACCUCCAUCAAGAGGGCCCGAACCUGGGUAAAACAUCGUGUCCCUUGUCUCCUGUUACCAUCCGCCUAGACGCACAGUUCGGGACCCCCUACCCGAGAUCCGCCGGUUUUGACACCGAUAGGCGGACUGGAUGGAAAAGGCACGCUAGGAGGGGAUCAAAUAAUAUGUAUGGACGGGCAUUCUCUCACUGAAGCACACUACACAGUUCUACAGAAUUCCGCCUUGGUGACUCCGUAUAUGGAGGAACACAAGAAUUUUCUACACUCCAAACACCCGGAGAAGUCUGACGACUGGAUUACACGUGAACAAACAAGGACUUUCGCCGGUUGGUUGCAGAAACGUGCCAUGCACGAUGGCGAUAUUGAAGAUGACCUAUACUCGCUGUCCCAGUUACCAUCUCCGAAUAUAAUGACUUUCAAAGGGUACCGAAUAAAUGGGAAUACAUUUUACACGAUCGCCCAAGAUAAGACGAGCACCGGCCAGGUGGCUACGCGGUGGGAAUGCCUAGGUGGGAUAAGUCUGAGCAAGAGAUGGAGGGUGCAGGGGUCACUCCGAUUACUAGGAGCUGGCCCCCCAGGUGCAGAACUUGGUUCUAUGCGCAUGGGGGGGCGUUGGACCCGAAGACAAUCCUGGUUUCGAAGAAGGCAAGUCUAAAAGGAGACGAACAAAAGAUACUUGACGCAAUAGAAGAAGCUCGAGCGGGGGUGUUCACGCCCAACAGAGAUAACGACGAGCUUACGCGCGCCCUGGGAAAUCCUGAACACCCGGGAAGAAUACGAGGCAUGGGCGUUAUUCCCUGGUAUGAGGGCUUUUUGGACUGGAACGAUGACUAUAGGUCCCGUGCAAGAAAGAAGAUGGAGGAGGAGAAGAAGAGGAAGCUGGAGGAAGAGCAGAGGAAGCAGGACGCAGAACGCCUUCAAGGCCUAGAAGCAAGGCACGCGGACUUGGCACUCAAAUUCCAGUAGCAGCAGCAGCAGAUCGACUCGCUUAGCCAGGAAAGGGGGUCUCAGCAGCGGUAGUAGCAAGUGGAUGAUCAUCCAUCAUUGGAUAGCACUGUCCCAUCCAUGCCGAGAAGCAGCAUUGGUUCUGCCCCGGGCGACACACUGCUGGAUACAUACCAUCCUGUGGAUGACAUCAUAGAGAACACUAACUGUGAGCUACACUCCAAAAUGAAGAACAUAUCCAUGAAGGUGGCGGACGGCGUUGAUUUCACAAUUACCCCUGAAGCAACCUUCCAUUGCAUCCCGAUUCCAAAGGGCUAUGCUCGUGUCAUGGUUGAUGAAGUGGUGGAGCCAUAUUCGAUGCUAGCACUUGACAUUGCUAGAGGUGACGGCGAGCGCACACUGGGAGAGGCCGUACAUCGUAUCAUCCUAUGGAGAAAGUAUUGCAUCAUCUUUCCAAGUCCACCGACACCGCGUCGUCUGCCGACUCCUCCUCGAAGUCCGCCACCGAGUCAGCAGACUCCCGCUCCUCCAAGUCCACAAACGCGUGAGCCGACUCCUCCUUGAAGUCCGCCACCACCUCCAAGUCCCCGAACGCUUGAGAAGACUACUCCUUCAUGUCCGGCACAGCGUCAGGCCACUCCUCCUGCUUCAAGUCCGGCACAGCGUCAGCCACGUCAGUCGUCUCUGCCGUCUCAGUAAUCGCAGAAGAGACACGCCGCAGCUAUGGUGCGUAGCGGUACGAGUCGAGGUAGUGCAGGAAGUACAGGCGGAGACAAGCGAUAUAAAUAUGGCCCAAGCAUCGCUCCUCUUCCUGAAAGGCCUUACGACAUGACCGAGGAGCAAAAUGCAGCCAUAGUGCAGGCCCAAGUGGACGCCCAUUUUGGACAGAAACCGGCACCGCCGCCAAAGGAGAAAGUGCCUGAGAAAACGAUUGACCACUUCAUUCAUAUGGCUAGAGCACCAGCUCCCAAGCCCGUUGACUCAGACUAUGAGCGUCAAAUCAGGAAGCUACAUCGAGCACGUCUACAGAAGGAAGCGAGCUCGAGCUCGAGCCAACAAGCAGCUGGCAAAAAAUGCGGGAAAACCGUUCCCCAGCUGGGAGAACAGGCGGCGCAAGCGAUCCCCCCGCUUGUUGUGCCAACAACACAUGAGAGGAGUACGCGCGCCAAAUAUUAUUGUGGGCAAACCGUUAGCGUUUCCCAGCAAGGCGAUGUGGUAAUAACGAAGGAGUAUAUAAUGCAGGCUGAAAUGCUCAAGAUCUUUGUUGGACAACUCCUCAAAAUCGAGCCCAUGUCUCCGCUUAGAGAAUCGGAAAUAAAAUAGAAAUAUGUCCGGGGCCAACCUUUGGUCCAUCUAGACAAGGUCAAGGACCUCCCAACGAGAAUGUAUGAAUUGCAUCAAUGGUACAUGAACAUUACCAAGAUUUCCAAUCGAGAGUCCCUCAUGGUGAAUGUCAAGCAUAAGCAUUAUUACCAUGAGAAAGCUCUGGCCGUUGAGUAUCCAGAACUAUUUCAGUUAUACAAUCAAGACGCACUCGACAAGUCUAUCGGAAGUUGCUAUUGUCUGUAAGUGAUUUCUUUCUGUAAUUUAAGUCUCAAGCUAGUUAUGUAGUGAUAAUUUUGAUCAAUCAUUACAUGUAAUUAUUCUCACUAUAUUCUUUUCUGUGGUAUUAUAUGCAGGAUGAAGAUGUAUGAAAUAAAAAAAUCUAGACGCUAUGGCAUUGGGUUCGUUGACCCAAAUACCAUUAAUAAGGACAUAUGGAAGCUUCCAUUUUAUCAAGCAGGUGUAGAGGAAAGCAUGCUAGAGUUCUUGAAGCGCCUCAAUACCAAUGAAGAUAUACUACUUCCUUACAACUUCCCGUGAGUCAAACUGUCUUGUACUACAAAUUCUGUUUUUGCUUACUAGCUAGCUAGAUGUUAAUAAUUAAGUGUAUACGGUUUACGGUAGUUGAUUGAUUUUAUGCACAUGCCCGCUUAAUUAAGACAAGCAAACGUGUGUGCAUGUAGUUGGCACUGUGUCUUGUUAGACACAAAGUUGAGGAAAGAAGAGUUGAAUUACUGGACUCACUAACUAAAGAAGAUAAAGACUUCACCAUCGUGAAGGGGAUAGUCAACAGGUAAUUUCAAUCAUUAUUAACUAUAUCUCGGCCUAUUAUUAGUUCGUCAUUUCCUGAUAUGAACUAUUUAAUAACCCCUUUAUUAAUUUUCUUUGCCGGCGGGCAGGGCAUGGGCAAAGUUCAUCAAGGUGACUCCAGACAACUGGGCAAAAAAGUUGUUUUGGCAUCGACCAAAAGUAAGUAAUUAAGUAGUACUAGCUAGCCACCAUCUCUUUAAUUCUUGUUUCAAUAUCAUUAAUUAAUUAUCAUGCUUGAUUAAUCAUUAUCUGAUUCAAUUCCAUUCUCGUAAAGGCCCUGAAGCAGGCGUCGGGGAAUAAUCUGUGUGCAUUCUACGUUUGCGAGAACAUUCGCAUGAUGACGUCCGAAAGGAGCAGAUCUGAUAGACAGGACUGGGUACGUUUGUCAGAACACUAUUCACACCAUUAUCGAUAUCUAGUCACACAACUAACACACAUGCAUAUUGAUCUCCUUAACAGUUCAGAGAGGUGCGGGAUAAGCUCCUACCAUCGGACCGCAUACUAGCACUUCAAGAGGAAAUAGCCGGAUUUUUGCUUGACCAUGUCAUAGAUCCCAAAGAAGAAUACUAUUACCCGCUACCGCGCCCAUGAACCACUUGUCAUCGUGCACUGGAGGCACCAAGGCAACAUAUGUAGGAGAAAUUGUAUAUGUAUAUACAUGUGGAUGUGUGAAUAAUUAAUGGUGUUGGUUGUGAGACAUUUGAUGAUAUAUAUGUAUAUAUAUGCGGUUCUACGUACGAGAAAAUCUAUUUAUAUAUAUGCAUAACGUGUACAAUUUGUAGUAUCGUGAAAUACCAGCAAAAAAAAUUUGAAUAAAAAAUAAAGCCAAAACCCCCCAAACAUUUAGUACCGGUUGGUGUUACCAACCGGUACUAAUGUCCUACGCGCACACGGGUCUGGCUCGUGCCACGUGGUGUCACUUUAGCGCCGGUUCGUGACGAACCGGUACUAAAAGGGGAAGGCUUUAGUCCCCACUCUUUAGUGCCUGUUGGCAAACCGGCACUAAAGACCGUUAAGAACCGGCACUAAAGGACGGUUCUGCACUAGUGAUAUCUGAAAAGGCAUAUGUUCAAUAAAAAAAGAAAAAUAAUUGCCGACACCUAGUGCAUAGCAAUGAAUCAAAGCCUAUCUAAUUAAAACGAAAACAUAAUACACGGAACAAGCAUAAAGAACAUGUAGAAGGUACAUUUUUCCAUCAAUAGAGCUUCAGAAUUAACUUCAGUGAAACAUUCAUGUUAUCACAAGAGUGUGAUGUGCAUAUAUAUAUUCAUGAAAAACUGGAAGUUCCGUAGAAAAAUAUACCAUCUUUCAAGAAAAACACUACUUUUGAGAGAUCAUACUGGCAUGCAAAAUUGGUUUUCUUUCAAAUGAUAAUUAGGAAGUUCUAAAACUCCAGGUCAUUCUCCAGCGGCACUACUUUCAGUUUUCCACUCCAAUUGUAUCGGCCACAACAUUGAUCCAGAUUUUGCAGAAACACUUAUAUUGUUGAACUGAACUUGAUCUCAAGUCAAUGUUUAGUUUAUAAAUAAUUUCUAUAAGUGAUAUAUCUUUCAGUGUAGAUACAUUCCUUGAUGGUGUGUAUUUCUCAAGACUACUUAGUGAAAAUAUAGCAGACAUCAAAUGAAAUGUAUAAUUUUGUAAUGGAAAAUCAAAAUGAAUGCCACAGAAAGACCCCAAAACGUCAUAUAAGAUCACCAUUAACCAUCCAAAUCUAAGGUCACUGCAUUCGUUAUGAACAAAUUCUUUGCCGCGAAACUAAACCAAGCCAACACUAAUUAUGUUUCAUUAUAGGAGACGAUAGUUAUUUCUUCAUUUAAAGUGUUGAUAUGGCUCCACCAUGGUAUUAGAUGUUGCCUUUUACUAUACGUUGUGAUAUCAUCUUUUUUUCUAAUCUAGUAAAACAUCUUCAUAUAGGUCUCACAAUACGAAAACCCUCCUCCGCACGCGUGCGUUGGCUGGGUGAUGAAGCGCUCUGCACAAUAAGUGAGGUUCCCACCGCGUGUUUCCAAACUUCCGCAUGUCGCUUAAUUGAGAAUGGUGGCCCCAUAUAGCAUAGCAGCCCACAGCCAUGGAAUCAAAUGUCUUGGGCCCACCCCACCUGUUACGCGCAUUUGUGAAAGGGCUAGUUCUGCUGGCAUCACGGUUUUCACUUUCAGUCAUAUAUCUUUGAAUUUCACCAAAUUCCGGUAGACCACGAAAUAUUUACCUUUCGGUCAAAAUAUUUCAGUCAUUUCGGUUGUACACAUGAAUUCAAAUAUUUUUUUAAACAUUUUCAAAUAUUUUUUUGAAUUUCAAGUGAAUAUUUUGGUCUUUUGGUCAAGAUGCAAACCGAAAUUACUGGAACUUAGUAAUUUUGGUAGGUACUGAAAUAUUUCUGAAACAGAAAUGAAAAAAACAUGGGUGGCAUGGCAUGCAGGCCCACCCCGUGAUCAAUAUAAAAUCUCCACCUAAAUUUCUGGUGGGGUGGGGGCUAGUUUCCCUAGAAUAAUGAAUAAUCAAAGGAAACAAAAAUAUCACUGCAUAGUUUCCUAAUAGGGACGUGGACAGCCAGUCGAAAAUCGANNNNNNNNNNNNNNNNNNNNNNNNNNNNNNNNNNNNNNNNNNNNNNNNNNNNNNNNNNNNNNNNNNNNNNNNNNNNNNNNNNNNNNNNNNNNNNNNNNNNNNNNNNNNNNNNNNNNNNNNNNNNNNNNNNNNNNNNNNNNNNNNNNNNNNNNNNNNNNNNNNNNNNNNNNNNNNNNNNNNNNNNNNNNNNNNNNNNNNNNNNNNNNNNNNNNNNNNNNNNNNNNNNNNNNNNNNNNNNNNNNNNNNNNNNNNNNNNNNNNNNNNNNNNNNNNNNNNNNNNNNNNNNNNNNNNNNNNNNNNNNNNNNNNNNNNNNNNNNNNNNNNNNNNNNNNNNNNNNNNNNNNNNNNNNNNNNNNNNNNNNNNNNNNNNNNNNNNNNNNNNNNNNNNNNNNNNNNNNNNNNNAUUCACCCAAAAAAUAAUUCAAAUAUAAUUUUAGCCUGACCUGCCUGUACCUCCACAAUGUAAUGGGCUACUGUUGUUUGCAAGUAAUUGUUUCCUAAUGUUAUGACUGAAUAUGGAUUGUCUCAUGAGACGUAUAGGGGGUUUUGCCUCCUAGGCAGGUUUUAUGGCAAAAUUGAUAGUUUCGUCAUGGAAGGACCGAUGUUUAUGACACAAGCACAAAACAUCACAGAUAAUUCAUCGUAGAAGGCCAAAAUAUUACUAGUACAAGGUAUCUUGGGGAUCAUCAAUUGGAUAUGUAAUUUGCACAUACUUGUGCCCUCUACACAUUCUUUCGUUUAUUGGAAUUUCUGUAAUACUGCAAAAAAAAAUAGUACCUAAUUGCGGUGUAAAAUGGUUAGAAAAAAUGGCAUGUCUUUGAUGAAUCGAUGCAGGAAUAUGGCUCACAGGACAAGUGCAUUAUAGUAGGUUUGUCCUUGUCUUGUUUUGACACCUUUGUUUGUCCUUUUUUCUUCCUUUCUUUUUUGCUUUUUUUGUUAUUAUCUGUUUCUCGUCAAUUCCCUACUGUUUUGCCACUAGUUUUCAAGGGGGUCUCACCAUCUUUUAUGUGUUUCUCCACUCUAAAGUACUUUGCUAUUCCAUCACAAUUUUAGCAUUAGAAAAUACACAAUAUAUGAUUGAGCAAAAAAUGCAUGAGAAGAAAACAAUGCAAGACAUAGGCAUUUCCAGCUGCAAACAAAGUAACCAUUCCAUCGAUUGAUGGCAAGACACUAAUCCGUUGAUUGCAUAUAAUAUAUAUGUGUAUGUAUAGCCGGUGCUAUAAUUCUCAUAUGCAUCCUCCUCGACCUACGUUGGUAGGCGCUUACAUACAUAUGCUCAUAUAUUCACAUAUGAGUAGAACGAGAAGUAAAACUGAGAAAGCAGAGCUGCCGACAAAUGUGAACUAACAUGACAUGUAUAUCAGUUAUUUCAACUUGCACUUUAGGCCUUGCCAGAUUCCUCGCAACCUGGUGGCCUGAAGGCAAUGAAGCUGACGCAUUGCACUUGGCGCAUGUUGUCGAAGCCGAUGACGCGGACAUAGGCGUCAGGGUACUCCUUCUUAACCUCCUCCACCUCGUUGAGCACCUGUGUGGCGUCGGUGCACCCGAACAUAGGCAGCUUCCACAUUGUCCAGUAUCGACCGUCGUAGUACCCGGGGGAGCUGUUGUGCUCACGGAAGACAAAGCCAACCUUGCUGAACUCGAGGCAGGGUACCCACUUGGAGCGGAUCAAGUAGUCGACCUGCUUUAGGAGGGCCUCCGUAGAGAGGGGUGGCAAGUAAGACAGGGUCUCAAACUUCUUGAUGCCCUCAAUUGGCCACACCUGAAUAGAUGGAAUGAACACAAUUGAUCAACACUUAGUGCUUAAAGAAAGACCUAACAAUAAGGCAAAAAUUACUCCUUAUGGUCUUCCAUACAUUGUGGGGGGUCUCGACAAGCAAGAAAGCUCAAGGACAGCUCUUGCUUAUGGGUAGUGUACGGGCAUUAAAAAUGAUAUUAUCUACUCCCUCCGUUCCAAAUUAGUCGUUGCUGAAAUGGAUGUAUUUAGAACUAAAAUACAUCUAGAUACAUUCAUACGUGCGAUAAGUAAUUCGGAACGGAGGGAGUAGUACACAUUGCAAUAAAAUCGAUUUCCAUUCACCAAGUUUAUGAGUUAAAUAUUCCUACACAUGUGAACCUGCUUACGGACUACAUUGUGAUGCACUAUCUAUGUUUAGUUGGCCUGGUAUGUUGGUUACACGUCCUAAGGAUAGCUUUGCCUUUGUGCAGUGGAAAUACCCAAUAAAUUAAUCAAUUGGGCCGACAAGAAUAUUCAUGGCAGCUUAGUGUCCGUCAUCCUUCGGGAAAAAAAUUGAAAAGAAAGAUAACCUCAGCCUCUGUAUCAAGGAUGCAUACUGUCAAUUUUAUUAUGUUAUUCAAUUGUGUCUAACAAAAAAAUGCAGUUUUAAUUCAAAACCACCUUCCAGACGAACAAAAUUGCUACACCUAUAAGUAUGAUGAUGUGCCUUGACCGCACCAUCCUUCGCCAAAAUAAUAUUUAGCUUUCAUACCUGCAUGCAUCUGAUCCUUCCGCCAUUGCUGACGCUGCUGAGGCCGGCGCUGCCGGAGCGGCGGCUGACUGGGAGGCCGGCGGUCGACUUGAGCCCCUGGAAGGGUGCGACGGUGGUGGCGGACGAAGCCAUCACGGCUGGGGCCAUGGCGGAGUACGUGAAUUGCUAGGUGGGGAGGCGAUAGCUAGCUAGGCCACACUUGACUUGAGGCCUCCUCAUGCCGCUCCAGUAUAUAUCAGCAUAUGCGCAGCGCCGGUCCUUUCAAACGAGAUUUCGAAGGGGUGGUCGUCGUUUGCUUGCUGCAAGGCGCCUUAUCCCUCUAGAUCAGCGGAAGAGGGGUGGAAAAUAAAAAUGAAUGCGACGGAAAGACCCCAAAACGUCAUAUAAGAUCACCAUUGAUCAUCCAAAUCUAAGAGCAUCUCCGGCCGUGCCCCCAAUACGGACCCCUCACGCGAUUUUUUCGCCCCGGCGCCGAAAAAACGGUCCAGUCGUGCCCUCGGGAGCCCGUUUUUCGCCGGCUUGGUCCGAAAUCAGUGCCGGCGGACCCAGGCCGAACCCGGGGCGAGCGGUUUUGGCGCGAAAGAGACGUGGGUCCGUCGAGUCAGCGACGCGCGUGCCUCGUCGUCAUCGGAACGCCUCGGUUUUCCGCGUGGAAUCAAUGGCAAGGCUGACGGGCAGCCUUGCCAUUGAUUCCUCACAGGCGGCACGUCACGGGCGGCGCGGCAACGCCUUCCCUCCCGCCACGCGUAUACACGGCGCGGGCUAUAUAAACCGGUGGCCUCCCUUGCCUCUGGCCACACCAGCCCACAGCCGCGCAUCGACCGCCGCCGAGCUCUCCCUCUCUCUCCAUGUGCAGCCGCUCGCCGACGCUUCUCCCUCCCCCCCCUCUCCCAAGCCCGAUGGCCGCGCGAUUCCCCGGCGACGCGGCGGCAGCAAACGGCUUCGGCCGCCGCUCGCUCCACGAGUGGGAGGCCUGGCUACUCUUUGAGGCGAACAUCCCGGCGCCACUGGACAUGCGCGCCGGGCCGAUGGGGUGGAGGCUCAGCAACGGGGGUGUGCCCAUUCUUCCGUUGCCCGACGUCGAGGCGCGCCCCGCCUUCUUCGCCGCCGAGGUCGACCGUGUGUGAGCCUCCCUGACAAAGGAGCAGCGCGCCCUCCCCCAGUACGCCGCCGACAACCACGCGUCGUGGGCGGCGUACUUCCAGCACCGCCAGGAGCAGAGGCUGGCGUCCACAUACGGGGCGCCGGUGGUGGGUAGCGUCAAGAACAACGAGGGCCGCCGUGUAUGGUGGGGCGCCCCCGGCCGCACGCUCCAGGACGUGUUGAAGCACAUCGAGUGCGGCAACGACCCGCCGCUAGCAUACCCUGCUGCGGUGGCCGCCCCGGUCCACCGCCGGAGCGCCGGGCAAUGGAUGCCCAGGAGGUUCGGCUCCUCCUCAACUUCCUCCUCCCACUCCUCCUCCCGCUCCUCUUCCCAUUCCUCCGGCUCGCCGGCGGUGUUCGUCGUCAAGGCUGAGCCCGUAGCGGAGACGCCGCUCGGCCGGCGCACUCGCAGCGCCGGCAUCGUCAUAAAUGAGGGCGCCCGGCGCGCAUCCUCCUCGUCUCCUCCAUGCUUCGUCAAACCGAAGACAGAGCCGGGGCUCGCGGCCGUGAAAACAGAGCCGGGGCUCCCCUCCGUGAAGACGGAGCACGACACCGGGGAGCUCGAUGACGCGGUGGCCUGAAAUGGGCGCGCGAUGACUGGGUGCACAUGGAGAUGGAGCGCCAGCGCUGCGCCCUAGAGCAGUUGAAACAUCAGCGCUGGGGCCGCGACGAGGGAGGCGUCGUCGUCCUCGACGACAGCGAUGACGACGACGCGCCGCCACCGACACCGGUCUUCGAUGGCGACGCCGGGUAGGGGUCCAGCAGGGGCAACCGCUUCAAGGAGGAGAAGGCCUCCGAUGACGACGGCGAGGAUGGUGGCGACGGUGGCGACUUCGCCGCGCUCAGCGACUUCUUCGGUCCGUAGUUGUAGUUUCGGCUUUUUAAUAAUAAAUUUGCUAUGUAAAAUGUCGAACAUGUCUAAUAUAUGCCAAGUUUGCCGAAUUUUAGCCAAAUUUUAGCUGAACUUUGCCGAAUACUCUUUUCUUUUUAACAUAAACGGCGUCUGGGGCGGCCCUGGGGUCGGCGGCUAGGAACCCACUCGUCCCCAGGCCGAUUUUUUGCGCCGGCUCGCCCCCAGCGGCGAUUUUACGCGCCCCCUGGGGGGCCAACGGCUGGAGAUGCUCUAAGGUCACUGCAUUCGUUAUGAACAAAUUCUUUGGUGCGAAACUAAACCACACCAACACUAAAAUUCAUGAAGGAAAGCCAUCCAUACUCUUAUGUUUCAUUAUACGAGACAGUAAUUAUUUCUUCAUUUAAAUUGUUUAUGUGGCUCCACCAUGGUAUUAGAGGUGGCAUUUUCCUAUACGAUGUGAUAUCAUCAUUUUUUUUCUAAUUUAGUAAAACUUCUUCAUAUAGGUCUCACAAUCUGAAAAUCCUCAUUCGCGUGCAGGCGUUGGGUGGGUGAAGCGCUCCGCACAAUAAUUCAGGUUCCAACCGCACGCUACAUUCCCUUUCAAACUUUCACAUGUCGUUUAAUUGAGAAUGGUGGUCCCAUAGUAUAGCAGUCCCACUGCCAUGGAAUUUAAUGUGUUGGGCCCACCCCACCUGUUACGCGCAUUCGCAGAAGGGCUAGUUGUGUUGGCAUCAUGGUUUUCACUUUUAAUGAUAUAUCUUUGAAUUUCACCAAAUUUCAGUAGACAGCGAAAUAUUUACCUUUCGGCCAAAAUAUAUCAGUCAUUUUAGUUGUACACAUGAUUUCAAAUAUUUUCAUAUAUUUUCUUCAAUUUCGAGUGAAUAUUUUGGUCUUUUGGUCAAAAUGCAAACAGACAUUACUGGAACUUAGUAAUUUUGGUAGGUACUGAAAUGAAAAAACAUGGGUGCCAUGGCAUGCAGGCCCACCACCGUGAUCAAUAUAUAAUCUCCCACUAAAUUUCAGGGAGGGGGGGCUAGUUUCCCUACAAUAAUGAAUAAUCCAGGGGAACGGAAAUAUCACUGCACACUUUCCUAAUAGGGACGUGGACAGCCAGUCGGAAAUCGACCACGCGGACGCGCGUGCGAAUUAGCCUCCCCCCGGCAUGCGUGUACCUCCACAAUGUAAUGGGCUAUUGUUGUUUGCAACUAAUUGUUUCCUAAUGUUAUGACUGAAUAUGGAAAAAAAAUUCAUGAGACAUAUAGGGUUUGUGCCUCUUAGGCAGGUUUUAUGACAAAAUUGAUAGUUUCGUCAUGGAAGGACCGAUCUUUAUGACACCAACACCAAACAUCACAGAUAAUUCAUGGUAGAAGGCCAAAAUAUUACUAGUACAAGGUAUCUUGGGGCUCAUCAAUUGGAUAUGUGAUUUGCACAUAUUUGUGCCCUCUACACGUUCUUUGGUUUAUUGGAAUUUCUGUAAUACUGCAAAAACAAGUAUCUAAUUGUGGUGUCAAAUGGUUAGAAAAACUGACAUGUCUUUGAUGAAUCGAUGCAGGAAUAUGGCUCACAUGACAAGUGCAUUAUGAUAGGUUUGUCCUUGUCUUGUUAUGACACCUUUGUUUGUCCUUUUUUCUAGUUCUUUAAUUUGUUUUUGUUUUUUUGUUAUUAUCUGUUUCUCGUGAAUUCCGUAUUGUUUUGCCAUUAGUUUCCAAUGGGUCUCGCCAUCUUUUAUGUGUUUCUCCACAGUAUUUUUUUAAGUACUUUGGUAUUCCAUAACAAUUUCCAUAUUAGACAAUACACAACAUAUGAUUGAGCAAAAAAUGCAUGAGAAGAAAACAAUGCAAGACAUAGGCAUUUCCGGCUGCAAACAAACCAACCUUUCCAUCGAUUGAUGGCAAGACACUAAUGCGUUGAUUGCAUAUAAUAUAUAUGUAUAUGUAUAGCCGGUGCUAUAAUUCUCAUAUGCAUCCUCCUCGACCUACAUUGGUAGGUGCUUACAUACAUAUGCUCAUAUAUUCACAUAUAUAUGAGUAGAACGAGAAGUAAAACUGAGAAAGCAGAGCCGCCGACAAAUGUGACUAACAUGACAUGUAUAUCGGUUACUUCAACUUGCACUUUAGGCCUUGCCGGAUUCCUCGCAACCUGGUGGCCUGAAGGCAAUGAAGCUGACGCAUUGCACCUGGCGCAUGUUGUCGAAGCCGAUGACGCGGACAUAGGCAUCAGGGUACUCCUUCUUAACCUCCUCGACCUCGUUGAGCACCUGUGUGGCAUCGGUGCAGCCGAACAUAGGCAGCUUCCACAUUGUCCAGUAUCGACCGUCGUAGUACCCGGGGGAGCUGUUGUGCUCACGGAAGACGAAGCCAACCUUGCUGAACUCGAGGCAGGGUACCCACUUGGAGCGGAUCAAGUAGUCGACCUGCUUUAGGAGGGCCUCCGUAGAGAGGGGUGGCAAGUAAGACAGGGUCUCGAACUUCUUGAUGCCCUCAAUUGGCCACACCUGAAUAGAUGGAAUGAACACAAUUGAUCAACACUCAGUGCUUUAAGAAAGACCUAGCCAUAAGGCAAAAAUUACUCCUGAUGGUCUGUCCAUACAUUGUGGGGGUCUCCACAAGCAAGAAGGCUCAAGGGCAGCUCUUGCUUAUGGGUAGUGUACGGGCAUUAAAAAUGAUAUUAUCUAGUACACAUUGCAAUAAAAACGAUUUCCAUUCACAAAGUUUAUGAGUUAAAUAUUCCUACGCAUGUGAACCUGCUUAUGGACUACAUUGGGAGGUUUAGUUUGGCCUGGUACGUGGGUUACACGUCUAAAGGAUAGCUUUGCCUAUAUGCAGUGGAAAUACCUGAUAAAUUAAUUAAGUGUGACGACAAAAACAUUCAUGAGAGCUUAGUGUCCGUAAUCCUUUGCCAAAAAAAAAUCAAAAAGGAGGAUAUCCCAACCUCUGCAUCAAGCGAUGCAAACUGUCAUUUUGAUUAUGUUAUUCAACAUAGUCUAACAAAAUAAAUACGAUUUCAAACCAAAACCAUCUUCCAGUCGGACAAAAUCGCUACACCUACAAAUACGAUGAUGUGCCUUGACCGCACCAUCGUUGGCAAAAAUAAUAUUCAGCUUUCAUACCUGCAUGCAUCUUAUCCUUCCGCCAUUGCUGACGCUGCUGAGGCCGGCGCUGCCGGAGCGGCGGCUGACGGGGAGGCCCGCGGUCGACUUGAGCCCCUGGAAGGGCGCGACGGUGGUGGCGGAGGAAGCCAUCAUGGCGGGAGCCAUGGCGGAGUACGUGAAUUGCUAGGUGGGGAGGCGAUAGCUAGUUAGGCCACACUUGUCUUGAGCCCCCCUCAUGCCGCUCCAGUAUAUAUCACAAUAUGCGCGGCGCCGCUCCUUUCCAACAAGAUUUUGAAGGGGUGGUCGUUGUUUCCCUGUUGCAGAACGCCUUAUCCCGAGGGAUCAGCGGAAGAGGGGUGGCCCUCCGAUGCAUUGCGUCUGGCUGCUGCAUUGGCAAACGAAAUUUAUAUCAGUCCGAUUACUAAGCAUUACAAUAAUUGUGCGAUCGUUAGAUUUGGGCCUGCGCCUUUCUUAGUCUUCAUCUAUGGCUUCCAGUAAUUUUGAUUUAUUUUGUUUCCGGAAAGUUACUGCUCCCAGAAAUUACUCCUCCAAGAUUUGUGUGUAAUUGCAC